rnacentral:lncRNA from 1 species
UAGAACUAAGCACCAUCUUCCUUUCCAGUAGGAGAAGAAUGAAUGAAUAAACAGGGACUAGGCGAUGUAUGGGCUCUGGAAUUACGAAUGCCUGUGAAUAUGUUGGCAGGAGUUGGCAUCUGAACACCGAAUCCUCUGUCAGUCUGUCUCACCUGGUUAUGUUGGAUUCAGUAUGAAUGAAUGUUUGGUGGUUAUGAGUUGAACUGGAUUGUGGUCUUGUUGCGCGCAUCACUGUCUGUCUAGUAUACAUGGUGAAUGUGAUCAUCUCAUGUCAUGUGUUGAUUGGCUGUGAGGAGAGAUGGACAGGUGUCAAUGUUUUUUGCAGUACAAGUUGACCUUUUUUUUGGCCUGUCCCUGUCCCUGUUUAGGUGGAGAUAACAGGUAGAGAAAAGUAGGAAAUUCAAAAAUAUUCUUGCACAUAUUUUAUGUGUGAUGAUCAGCAUUUUAUCUACUACCAUCUCAUUUGUUUGUUCGAAAUGAUCAGAGGAAAAAGAAGAGGAGUUGUUGGCAAGUCGACUCUUGCAGAUAUCUUAUCUAUUUCAUUUGUUUGUUUCAAAAUUGUUGGAAACAUGAAGAAGAAGAGUUGUUCACAAGUCGACUUUGCAAUCAUUGUUGCAAAUAAGUAUAAAAACAAUCAAAAGAAGAAACACAAUUGAAAACGUCGGCCUUUUUUCUUCUGUUUAAAACGGACAAGAUGCUAGUUGUUGUUCAAAAAAGAUCCAGACAAGGAACGGUCCCAGCAGCGCUGCCUUCUACUCCGCUUCUCCGAGAAACAGAGGAGAGGGAAGAAAGGCUUGAUCUUGACCGGCCGGCGUCCAUGGCGGCGGCGGCGGCGGCGGCGGCGGGGCAGCAGCGGGUGGUGGUGAUGCGGCACGGGGACCGGCUGGACCACGCGGAGCCCAUGUGGCCGGCCAACAAGCCGCGGCCGUGGGACCCGCCGCUGACGGACGCGGGCGUCCUCCGGGCCUGGACCGUCGGCAAGCGCAUCCGGGCGCAGGCCGCCGCCGACGGCUACGCGCUCCACCGCGUCCUCGUCUCCCCCUUCCACCGCUGCCUCCAGACCGCCGCCCAGGCCGUUGCCGCGCUCUGCGCCGUCCCCGACGACGCCGCGCUCGCCGCCGUCCUCGACUCCAGCGCCAAUGUGCCCCUCGACGCCUCCCGCGUCAAGGUCUGUUCUCUUCCUCCUCGCUCCCCUCUCCUCCCUCCAUUGCUCUGUGUUGGAUUCAUUCGCUCAUGCUCGCGUUGAUAUUGGUUGGAUCUGCGCCAUGUUAACAAACCUGAACUUGACUUGUUUUUCAGUUAACUGAAACACACCACAGAGGUUUCAGACUUUCAGUUAACUGAACUCAAGCCAAGUUAAACUGACUGACUGUUUGUACAGAUACUCAUUUUGAUUUAGGGUAAAUCCUAACAACAGUUUAGCUUUCCGAUUUGCGUCCUUAUAGCCGAUGAAUAGCUGGGGUAAAUGACUGUUCCUAACUUCCUAUUGCUUAAACCUGAACUGAAGGUUCUUUAUGUGCCACACACCUAAACUCACUCAAGUUGAUUCUCUGAAAGAAACUUAACUUGUUGGAACAGAGAUACUGAUUUAGGGUGAUUGUAGCAUUAGUUUAGCUCUACCGUCCUGCCACCGUGGUCGAGUUGCAUCGUGGAUUUGAGGUUCAACUGUUGUAUGCUUAGUGUACUCUCAUGCGAUUGCUGCUUCUACCCUCACUGCAUUUUCUGUUGCAGAUUGGUUAAACUAGUGCGGAGACUGAACUCUCAAGUUUGCUGUUCCUGCAGUCAACAGUUAUGUACAGUGAUAAGGAAUCUCUUUGACAAUUUCAGGUGUCGAUCGAGUAUGGACUGUCUGAGAUGAUGAAUGUUGAAGCGAUGGGCGCUCUCGUCAGCCAGGUCGCGCCCAGUGUCGAGAAGUGGUUCCCUGACUUGGCAGAACUCGAAGCCGUCUUGCCACCUGGAACCAUCGACCAUUCUACACAACCUCUCUUCCCGGAGGUCAGCUUGAUCCACGAAUUGUGAUUUCUUUCCUUUUUGCUGUCAACAUCCAUUUACACAGCCAGUAACCAUCUGUUAAGUCACCGUUAAUCCCCAGUGUCUGCUUUUCUGCACAGACCGACAAACAGGUUGUCGCAGAAAUCCAUCACAGAUACCUGAAACUGUCAUCUUUUUCCAAUGCAGGUACCCAAGUGGGGAGAGUCUGUGAGGGGGGCCAGAAUCAGAUACGCUAGCGUGAUCAAGGCUCUCGCCGACAAAUAUCCUGGCGAGAACUUACUCUUAGUAACACACGGUGAGUUCCAAAGCGUGUUGCCUCUUCUAUAGCAAAAUAACAGUUGAGAUUCAGUAUACCACAAUCACGCCACCGAUCAGGUGUAUUCUAUUGAUCCCAUUUUUACAAGCUGAGGUGGUUUGUUGUUUCUGCAGGGGAGGGCGUGGGUUCGUCGGUGGCAUGCUUCGGGGCGACGGGCAUGGAGGUCUACGAGGUGGAGUACUGCGCAUACGCCGUGCUCGAGAAGCAGCCUCUUCAGCCUGGCGGUGAGGGUGAUGGCGAGAGUGUGCUCAAGGUGGUGGCGGAUAGAAGCGGCCCGACCACGGGCAUACACUAUCUGGUCACCUGAUGAACACAAUCAAGCAGCAUGAUGCCAUCGCCAUCAUCAUACCACUCCUCCAGCACUGGACGGUCACGGGGAGCUUUAUUAGAUUAGUUUUGCAAUCCCUAUUUAUUUCCACGAGAUUUGAUGCUUGAUAUGUCGUUUUUAGAAAAUUGUGGUUGGUUCAUCCUGGAUAUUUUUUGUACUACCAAUCGUCGUGGUAAUAAUUCGCUAAACUGCCUUUUUUAGGACAACUUUGCAUUCAGUAUGAAUUUUUCCCCCGAAACGAAAGACAUAAGAUUUAACGCAUCCAUUAAUUAAGCAGGAGAUAGUUGUCUGAUUCUGAUGAUUAAUUAACAAAGGAAAAACGGACGAAACCGAUACAACACGGCCCAAGUCCACCCCCAAGCACCGAAACAUACCGCGCGCCCCGCACCGCCUCAAAAAGAAGAAGCCAUGACCGCUAUGGGAAGAGCAGAGACUCGCCUGUUGCAUCACAUGACAUGCCGAUGACCAACAUCGAACGAAUGCCACGUCGCCAACACGACUCUCCACAGCGAGAAUGAUACUAGUGAUCUGUCUUUCUGUUUGUUGAUCUGCGUACGACCAAAGCUACAUUCUAGAAGGUCCAGGUCGAUCAUCAUCUUUAUGCGUAUCAAUCUAGUCAUCUAGAUCUAGGGGUAUAUGGUCACGCGACGAUCCACGCAUACACAAAGGUGAGAGUGCACCAUCAUCGGUGGCUAUAGCUUUACGUUUGUGUUGUGUACCAAAAAUCGAACAGCAACAUAAAGACAAUGAAAUGAAAAGGAUGGAUCAUCUCGUCUUCCCUAAAGAAAAUGCAGUGCAAUCUCUACUGUCUCGUCAAUCGUCGGUCGUACGUCGAUGAUGUUUCGUGUACCUACUACGUACACGCCCUAUGUCAGACCCAAUCCAUGCCCAAAUCCCCUGUUAAUUAGUUAACGAUGAUGUGUACGUCUCAUACUGCUGGAUACUCCUGCCUUUGUGCUGCUGCCCCAAAGCAUGAAAGGGAUAAAAGAGAGAGGGAUCAGCCAAGCCAGGUGUGUGGGAUUGGGUGGUAGUAUAUGUGUAGAAUCUUCCGUCCUUGCCUUCUUUUCUUUUGUAGUAGUGAUGCACUAGUGCAAAGUAAGUCCUGUCGAUCGCAGCUAGCUGGAUCGAUCUAUGCCAUGCAUGCUCCUCACUAAAAUGACAUGCAGAAAAACCACUAGUAAUAACACCGUUUAUCCAACGUGAAAUUAGUCGAGGACUAGAGUUGAAUUCCACCCCUGCUCAACGCUACAUAGCGUGCACGGUAGAAACACAUUUUCGUCCCUAGUUACGUGCUUGUGUUCACUUUGUACUUACCCUAAGUCAACUCAUGCAUGGUAUGUUCCAGCGAUGCAUGCCCUUGCCUAAACAUAGCGAAUUACACCUCACGAAUGUGUGUAUCGUCUCGAAAAAGAAAAGGAAAGCAAAUGUGUGCAUCGCGCGCGCGCGCGCGCGCGAGAGAGAGAGAGAGAGAGAGAGAGAGAGAGAGAGAGAGAGAGAGAGAGAGAGAGAGAUGCUCAGCUAGGAUAAAUGAGAAUUGUGUUUUCUUUCGGAAGAGGUUAUUGCAAACGGAAAGAUGAGAUAUAGCCAUAUAGGAAGAGUGUGAGUUUUCUUUCUUUUUGGUUAUUACAUUCACUUCAUAAUACGGCUCUCAAAGCGCCCUCCGAUGAUUCCUUGGAUAGAUCAGUUUAUGGCAACUUGAUGUCUGAGAUCAAGGCUUUUUUGAAUGAUAGGCUUGUUAUUCCAGUUAAAGUUCUUCGUCGACAGAACAAAGCUGCAAAUAGUUUAGCGAACUUGGUAGAACCGGGAAUAAUACGGCUUGUUGGCGUGGGAAAUCCCCUCCAUGUGUUAACACUUUGGAAUAAUAAACCCUAUGAUCCCUCGCAAGAAAAAAAAUCUUCAUAAAGGUUUGGUUUCUCCUUUCCUCUCGUGUCUGUGGCGGUUAGGACACUUACCCGCUCCAAGCUUUGCCGAUGAGCUCGUGGAUCCAUCUCCCCUAUGCUUCGGUUAGUAGUUUACGUCCGGUUUUCUGCAAGCGGAAAGAGAAGAUAUAGGAAGAGUUUCUGUUUUUUUUUCUUUUGGGUUAUUACAUUUACAUUAACUUUAGUAAAGAUAUGGCUGGUGGUUACGGCGCUCACCCCCUCCAAGCUUCGCCGACGAGCCCUUCAUCUUCGAGUUGGCCUUUCGGGUUCCAAUCCUCUUCGAGUUUGUCAAUCGGGGCUGGCUCGAUGGAGCUCCCGUCUCCUUCGGCGACGAAGCUAUGGUUUCUCACCGUGCAUGCGUGACGACAAGAUUUGACGCCAGGCGCUUCGCAUCGAUUAAAUGGUUCAACAACGAUGUCUGCAACUCGGGGGGUGUUGGUCCUUGGACAUUGACAAAGUCAAAGUUGGCUUUGGUAGGGAAGCGACUUGUACUAGUGGCGUAGUGGCUGUUUAGUGAUGUAGGGUCCUUGAGGUGAUUUUUAUUAUGUCUAUGAUAUGAUGCGCUGUAUUUCUUAUGAACCUUGAGAUUUGUUUUUUUAAAUUUUUGUAAUGAAGAGAGACAUUUUUUGUGAUGUAUGGAGUACAUUGUAGUGAUGAGGUUUUGCCGCAAAAAAAAAGUGAUGAGGUUUUUUUUAAACUAUUUUUCGUUAUUAAAAGAAAGAGUGAUGAAUGCGGAGUGACACAGCACGUGGCAUGCUCGGUGAGUUGCUCCAAGUCGAGCGAGGACCGGGUCGCCGACACGUGGCCCCUACCUACCCACCGAAACCGAAACCGAAGAAGCCAACGCUAGACAAAAUUUGAGACCGCUAAACUGAUUGGUCCUGGUGGAUGUGAGUGAGGCUGAGGUGCGGUCCCCACACCACGUCCUCGUGCCGCUGGCGCUGGCGGUGGGAGGCAAGGCCAAACCGUCGGCCAUAAGCAUCCAACCCAACCCAACCCAACCCGAGAGACCCAUCCGUCCGCGCCGGGCCCGGCUGUAAACAUCUGCUAGGACGGACGGACGGACGGACGGACCAAGUGCCAGCCAAGCACGCACGCACACAGGACAAGAGAAACCGAACCAGAAGCAUAGGUAGCUGACGGGUCACGAUAAUAAAUAGGCACACCCCACGACCCCUUCCUUCCCAUCCCAUCCCAAGGGGCUCUCACUGGCUCAGUCCCCACUGCUGCUGGCUGAGCUCUCCCCUUCCCCCCAAAUUCAUCUCCAACUCCAGCCAAGAAUUAAUCAAUCAAUGGCGAUAGGGGGGGCGUUCGUGGAGGGCCCGGCGGGCGGCGCCGGGUACAGCGGCCGGGUCACCUCCUUCGUCGUCCUCUCCUGCAUCGUCGCCGGCAGCGGCGGCAUCCUCUUCGGCUACGACCUCGGAAUCUCAGGUUAUUAGCUACAUCCUCCUCCUCCUGCAAUUCUUCCACCGAGCAGACUAGUUCGUCUAGCUCGCAUUCCUUCCUUCCCCCCUUCAAGGGGAGUUCCUCAGAAUGAGGAGGCAUUUAACACCUACCCACCCACUGCCCGUACUCCUCCUCUGCACCCAUACGCAUGAUCCUUCGUUCACCACCACCACUUGCUACCAACAAAUUCACCUCAUCAACAUGACUUCUUUUUCUUCACUAGUGUCAAGAAAGAAAAUACGUCUUACAUUAUGGGCUAUGGGACGGAGGGAGUAGUAUAUCUCUUCUUGCGAUGAUCAACUCAUCACCAUGACUUGCUUAAUUCACCGUCUCAACUCUACACUACUCCCUCCGUAAACUAAUAUAAGAGUGUUUAUAUCAUUAAGUAGGGGGAGUACUACUUAAUUCUAGUAGUACCACCUGUCAAACUUUUUUUCCAGUAAAACCUGUCAAAAAAAAACUAAUUAAUUAAUCCUAGUACACAGCAGCACACCAAUGCAUAGUAAGAUGUGAACGAUGUGAUUAGCCAACCCAGUUAACAAUAACUACUGUAUGUACUCCUGCAUACAAACAUGAUGUGAUUCUGAUGUUGAUUGAUGGAUGCACUGAAUACACACUACAGGCGGCGUCACGUCCAUGGAGUCGUUCCUCAAGAAAUUCUUCCCGGACGUGUACCACCAGAUGAACGGCGACAAGGCCGCCGUCUCCAACUACUGCCGCUUCGACAGCGAGCUGCUCACCGUCUUCACCUCCUCCCUCUACGUCGCCGGCCUCGUCGCCACCCUCUUUGCCUCCACCGUCACCACCCGCUACGGCCGCCGCGCCUCCAUCCUCAUCGGCGGCUCCGUCUUCAUCGCCGGAUCCGCAUUCGGGGGCGCCGCCGUCAACGUCUACAUGCUCCUCGUCAACCGCAUCCUCCUCGGCAUCGGCCUCGGAUUCACCAACCAGGUACUCCCUACCCUAAGUGUCACAUGCUCAAUUAAUUAGCUAGUCUUUAAAUAAAAUUCCAGUCACAAGCAAGUCCAUGAUCCAUUGACUUUGACACUUGGUACCGAACUUGAUCACGAGAGGCAGACGUCGCUCUGUAAUUUGUCCUCAUCAAAGCUUCCACGCGCACACACACACCCGAGAUUACUUAGUGGACUUCGUUUUCUGCAAGUACCUUUCUUACAUCACCAUUCCAGUCUAGCCAGAAAGCAACCGGUUGCGGUCACCGUCUCACUGUGGAUCCACUUUUGUCCUUGUCAAAAUUGGCAAGUGGCACCACACCUACACACUUCAUUAGUACUGUCCACAGAUUAUUCAUUCAUAUUAUCAUAUAGAAUUACCUCAAGGGAAAAUAUUCCGUUUGAGAGUGCGCAUCAGUAAUAAUCAAAGUCAAGUCAGCACAAGUCAACUUUUCAAUCUUUUAUUAUUGUGGCCAGAAUGAAUUGGUGUAAUUUUUAGUUUGGGGAAUUAGAUGGAUUCUUUCUACUUUAUAUACAACACGGCAAUUCGGCAAUUAGAGAAAAACAGCAAGAAACCAACAAAAUAUAUCAGUGUCUCAACUUGCUACAGCAAUGUGCUGCCUGAACGGAAAUGUUACGUUUGGGAUAUUUCAAGUUUAUAGCUGCAAAAAUCAAAGUCAAGUCAGCAGUCUUCUUCAUGGACACAGCGACAAUUUAGCCCACAAGUCAAAAUUUCAACCCUUAUUAAAUGUCGCCAGAAUGAAUUGGUACAAUUUCUAUUUUGGGGAAUUUGAUGGAUUAUUUCUUUUUAAUUAAAAUACCGGGAUUCAUUCGUUAGAUCAAACCAGGAAGAAACCAACAAAAUAGAUCAGUAUCUCAACCUGCUAAAGUGGUGACCAUUCACAUCCGUGAAAGAGCAGAAAAUGAAGUUCACUAUGAUCAUCACCAAAAGCAACCACCAGCGCAACAUGUUUUUUUUGCAAAAAGAGAAAUACAAGAUGCUCUCUCCUGAAACUUUUAUGCUGUCUCAACUUUCUUUUCAUAUUCGUAAUCUAGAAAGUAUAUUCAUGUGUCCUCCUUGUGAUAUGCUUUUGCAAAAAUGAAAUACAAGAUGCUAUCUCCUGAAACUUUAUGCUGUCUGAAUUUUCUUUUCAUACACAAUCUAGAAAGGAUAUUCAUGUGUCCUACAAGUAUAUCUUUUUCAGGAUAAUUGCAGGUUAGACUUCUAUUGUACUGGUAACUAACUAAUGAGUAAAUUGCCUUGCAGUCGAUUCCACUGUACCUCUCGGAAAUGGCGCCGCCGCAGUACCGUGGCGCCAUCAACAACGGCUUUGAGCUCUGUAUCAGCAUCGGCAUCCUCAUUGCGAACGUUAUCAACUAUGGAGUGCAGAAAAUCGAAGGAGGAUGGGGGUGGAGGAUAUCACUGUCCAUGGCUGCUGUCCCCGCUGCAUUUCUGACUAUCGGUGCGAUCUUCCUUCCUGAGACCCCGAGCUUCCUGAUCCAGCGUGAUGGCAAUGUCGACGAGGCGAAGAUGAUGCUCCAGAGGCUGCGUGGCACGAUGGGGGUUCAGAAAGAGCUCGACGAUCUGGUCACCGCUAGCAACAUAUCCAGAGCAAUCAAGAACCCGUACCGGAACAUCCUGAAGAAGAAGUACAGGCCGCAGCUCGUGAUAGCGCUCCUCAUUCCUUUCUUCAACCAGGUCACGGGAAUCAACGUGAUCAACUUCUAUGCGCCGGUCAUGUUCCGGACCAUUGGGCUAGGGGAGAGUGCAGCACUCAUGUCAGCGGUCGUGACACGCCUCUGCGCCACAGUCGCCAACAUCGUGGCCAUGAUCGUCGUCGACAAGUUCGGGCGAAGAAAGCUCUUGCUGGUAGGCGGUGUUCAGAUGAUCCUGUCGCAGUUCACUGUCGGUGCGAUCCUGGCUGUGAAGUUCAAGGACCAUGGAGUCAUGGAUAAGGAGUAUGGAUACCUGGUCCUGAUCAUCAUGUGCGUGUUCGUGGCAGGGUUCGCCUGGUCCUGGGGACCUCUCACCUACCUGGUGCCAACAGAGAUCUGCCCGCUGGAGAUCAGGUCGGCAGGGCAGAGCGUUGUGAUUGCGGUCAUCUUCCUGAUGACCUUUGUGAUCGGGCAGACGUUUCUCAACAUGCUGUGCCAUCUCAAGUUCGGCACCUUCUUCCUGUUUGGCGGGUGGGUGUGCGUGAUGACGCUGUUCGUCUUCUUCUUCCUGCCGGAGACGAAGCAGCUGCCCAUGGAGCAGAUGGAGCAGGUGUGGAGGAAGCACUGGUUCUGGAAGAGGAUAAUUGGGGAGGGGGAAGAAGAGGUGGAUCAGGCACAAACUGGUGCAGGAGCCAUAGCCAUGUCCACCACACCACAUAGCAGUUAGUGACAUUCUUUUGGGGGGUGUAAAACCUGCACCCAGAAAUGAUGAACUAGUAUAUCUGCAUGUACAAGGUGAGGUACUCAUAUAGCCAUAAUAUAUAUAUACUGUAUGUAUCCUAACUCAAGUCAAUAGUUCAGUGCAGCUGUGAGUAUGAAUGAAUUAAUGUAACCUAUAUAUAAGUUGAUGUUUGGAAUGGCAGAAAGUAAUAAGGUAGGAGUAUAUUGCAGAGCAGCUUGACUAAAUAAGAUACGGUUUUGUAAGCUCUGCUUAUAACUAGAGAUGCAUGUCAGAAGACAAGCCCUCACCUGUGCUCCUGUAUAUGAAAGAAACCACCUUAUAUAUGAUGAUUGGGUUUUCAUCAAAGUGCAAUGAUCUAUCUAUCUAUCUUGGGACUCAGAUAAUGUCUCUUCUGUGAGGGCACUCAUUUACUCACAUCAUAUUUGUCAUGAAACAAGACUGCUGACUAGAUCAAUGUGCUCAUGUGCAGUCCAGCUUCCUGUGCAGUGAAAUUGGCAAGCAAUGGCAGCAUGCCACUCAGACAGAGAAACAAACAUGCCACAUACUGAAUUGUAGCUAGCAUUUACAGGUUAUUAUUCAUGCCUUGUCAAAAACGAAAUCGAAAUGCUACUAGUGGUUGCUGCUUUGACCCUAAAUCCUAAGGAAAAUCCUGUUGGGAGUCAAAUGAGCUAGAGCUAGGGAUCGAUUAAGUGGAGGGGAGGCAGGCCUGGGUUGCCAUAGGGGAGUGAAUCCAUGGUGAUUCAGCAGCUCGGGGGUGGAGGAACGGAAGCGGAGGGGUAUACCUCCGGUCGGAGCUCUUCGUCGGAAGGGAGCAGCGCACGGCCGUCCGGCGAGAUCAUCUUCUUCCCAGCGGCCGGCGGCGACCGCGGUUCCUCCCCUCCAGCGGCGGUCCGGCUCAGCGUGCAGCGGCGACAGUUUUUUUUUUUNNNNNNNNNNNNNNNNNNNNNNNNNNNNNNNNNNNNNNNNNNNNNNNNNNNNNNNNNNNNNNNNNNNNNNNNNNNNNNNNNNNNNNNNNNNNNNNNNNNNNNNNNNNNNNNNNNNNNNNNNNNNNNNNNNNNNNNUGACCGGCCCACAAAGCCAGCGUGGCCCAUGCGACCAGGUCCGUUCCGUCCUACAAACUCCGCACCCCUCUGCUCUCUUCUUCCAUAACCGCCGCGCCGUAGCGUAGCUUCCCUCCUCUCUCCUCCUCCUCCUCCUCCGCUCCGGGGGCCUCGCCGUCGCCGUCGCCGACGCCGACGCCGGCCGAAGUGAAGCGCCGCCCGCGCUCCACGGGUAAGCCCCGCCGCACCCCCCACCAAAUGCAUGUGAAACCCCUCCGCCGCUCGCUCGCGCCGCGCCCCCUACCCCAGAGCGCGCGCGACCGCUACCGCUCGGCUCGCUCGAGAAGCCCUAGUCGUCGGCGGUGGCGGAGGCGAGGCUUCGCGCGCCAGACGCAGCGGCGCAACCCCUGUGCACCUCUCGCUCGCUCGCUCGCUCUUCCCCGACCAGAGCGCGCGCGCGCUCGACUGCUCUGCUCGGCUCGAGAGGCCGUACCCUAGUCUAGUCGGCGGUUCCGCGCGCGGCAUCCGCGGCGGCGGAACCCCUGUGCUUGUCUCUCUCUCGCUGUUCUCCGACGAGGGCGCGUCGGUAAUUUCCUGCUUCUGUUGCUGAUCGAUUUCAUUUCCCUGCCUCUCGCUGAUGAACAGGGCGUGCGGCUGAUCCACCGAUGGCCGCCAACGAGGGAGACGGGACCGGAGCGGGCGCGGCGCCCACCGUCGUCGGGCUGGCGCUCGGCGGCUCUAAAUCCAGCGCCUACGUCCUCCAGUGGGCGCUCGCCAACUUCGCCAGGGACGACGCGCCUCCCGCCUUCAAGCUCAUCCACGUCCUCACCCCGGUCCUGGCCGUGCCCACGCCAAGUACGCACGCUGCACCUCUGCACGCCCCGCUCCUUCUUACCUCGUCGCUUCCGCCCGCUUGAGUUGCUUCCGCUACAUGCUCACCAUCUGUUUGUGCCUGUGCCUGUGUGCGGCUUGCCUUCAGUGGGGGGCCGCCUCCCGAUUGAUGAAGUCAAGUCCACCGUCCUCGACGACUAUCUCGGGAAAAAGUGGAUCAAGAAGCAGCAAAUGCUGUUCCGCUGCAAAGACACAUGUGAUGAAAACAAGGUGGUUUCAGUUAGCAACUACUCCAUUUCCGUUUCAUGUUCUAGACUGAAUCUGAAUGAAUUCAUGAAUGAAUGGAUGGAUCGACCCCCUUGUAUGUUGCUUGGAUUUAUCUGUUUACUUAAUUGGAUCAGGUUGGCUUGCCUUAACAAGUACUACUCCAUUUCCAUUUCCUAUUCUGGACUGACUGAAUGAAUCCAUCAUCCCCUUUGUCUGUUGGUUGAAUUUAUUUGUUUACUUAUUACUAGGCCCAGGUUGGCUUGCCUUAACAAGGAGCAUGUUUCCACUUCCUAUUCUAGACUGACUGAAUGAAUGCAUCAACCCCUUUGUCUGCUGGUUGAAUUUAUUUCUAAAGCACAUCUAGAUGUGCCAUAAGUAUUGCACAUCUAAGUCAUAUGCCAUUGAUCUUACAUUGAGAUUCGUGUGAAUAUUUUCUUUCUCUUUUUUCUUUUUCUCUUUAUGCUUGAUUCACUCACUUAGAUGUGCAAUAACUAGAGCACAUCUAGAUUAUUUGUUUACUCACUAGUCACAGGUUGAUUUGCCUUAACAAGGAGCAUGUUUCCAUUUCCUAUUCUAGACUGACUGACUGAAUGCAUCAACCCCUUGUCUGUUGGUUGAAUUGAUUUCUUUACUUUCUUGGCUCAGGUUGAAUCUCUCCGUAAAGAAAUAUAAGAGCGUUUAGAUCUAAAGUAGUUAUCUAAACGCUCUUAUAUUUGUUUACAGAGGGAGUACUUGCUAAUUCAAAUGCAUGUGGGUUGGAUUUAAUUGUUUACUUAAUUGGCUAAGGUUGACUUGACUCAACAAGUAGUCCGUUUCCAUUUCAUAUUCUACACUGAAUGAAUGCAUCAACCCCUUGUCUGUUGGUUGAAUUUAUUUGCUUGCUUACUUGGCACAGGUUGACUUGCCUUAACAAGCACAUCUCCAUUUCCUAUUAUAGGCUGACUGGAUGAAUCAACCCCUUUUCUGUUGGUUGAAUUAAUUUGUUUACUUACUCGGCCCAGGUUGAAGCUCAAGUACUGCUUGUUGAGGGUAACGAUGUCGCGGAUACCAUUUCCAGUCUUGUUUCUCAGUACCAGAUACAGAUCCUCGUUGUCGGUAACUCUUCCAGCAUGAUCCCGUUCACUAGGUAGCUCCUCAUACUCAUACUCAUACCUGUACUGUACUAAUUCGUGGUGAAUAAUAAUUAUUGUGCAUGCUCCUGUUGAUCAUUGGAUGAUAUAUGUCUUAUAGGAUGUCCAGUGUAACUAGGACGUCCUCCAAAAUCUGCAAGAGUGUCCCCAGCUUUUGCACAGCAUAUGUUGUUUCAAAGGAUGGAUUGUCUUCAGUUUAUGCUUCUGAAUCAGAAAGUGGCUCGCCCUCUGGCUCUCUAGUACCAAAAGGCAACUCCGGGAGCUCCGAGACCGAAGAAUUUAUAGAUUCCUCAAUAUCAGGUAAGGCCCCAUAGUCGUCAAGCUACCAUCAAAUAUUUCUCACGUAUUGUUCCCUUCCUGUGCAUCUUUGGCGUGCAGUAUAUUCCUUCGCAUUUCUCAUUGCUGCUGGAACUGUGAAACUGCAGCAAGCUUGCAUGAAGACAUAAGCCUAUUAUUGUUUCUAAUACUUGGCUUAAAAGUAUAAUAUCAAAUGCAAAGAUAGACAAGUUGGAGUUGCUUAUUUCCCCUUCUCAUCAUCUGAAUGUUACCUGUUCCCUUGUCUCGUCAGAUUUGGAUGACAGUUCAGGGCGGGGCGUGCCACGCUCCAACUUGGCAUCAGAGAACCUUGAAAGUAUUUCUUCUGUUGAAGGUUUUAAUCUAUAUGAUUAUAUCACUGGAAAUGAAUCAGUAUAUGCCAACAAGGACAGAAAAAUUACCCCAUGCACUGGUGCUCAAAGCUCUAUAUCAAGUCAAUCUCAGGGUUCAGACAAGGUGCCAACAAAAGAAAGUUCACUGCUGGGAUUCAUGCUUUCAGACAACAAGGUUGGUGGUGCAAUUUCUUGGUUAUUGACAGGAUUUUAAUUAUAUGAACAUCUUCAUUGAAACUAUAUUUACACAUCCAACACAUAGCUUUUGUUUUGGUUAAUUGCAGGGUUCGGGCAAGGUGCCAACAAAAGAAAAUUCACUGCUGGGAUUAAUGCUUUCAGAGAACAAGGUUAGUGGUGCAAUUUCUUGGUUAUUGACAGGAUUUUAAUUAUAUGAACGUCUUCAUUGAAACUAUAUUUACACGUCCAACCCAUAGCUUUUGUUUUGAUUUUUUUCCCAGAUAACAUUUAACAUAUUAAAGAUUCCCAGUUUUUUCGCUAACUUUGCCACAGUAGUUUGUUUUCCUCCAAUCCGAUUGGUAAUGAGUUACUAUGGAGUUCGCACGUGCCUUAUGGAUCUUGAAUUAUUAUAGAUGCAUUCCUUAAUUAGGCUAUUAUAGAUGCAUUCCUUAAUUAGGCUAUUAUAGAUGCAUUCCUUAAUUAGCCAAAUUUACUGUUGCGCUGGAAAAAGAUGUGAAUGGAAUAUGGUAUGUUUUGUGGAUUGCACUCUAACUCUGCUCUGCUCUCAUAACCUGUGCCAAUGCAGGAUGAUAUCAGUGCAGAGCUUGAAAAGCUGAAGCUUGAACUGGGACAUAUACAGGGAGCAUAUAAACUCGUUCAGGAUGAGUCUGUCGAUGCAUCUCAUCAGGCAAGUCAGUGGUUUGGCUGCUGUUAAAAAAGGGUGAAUUUACCAAUUCAGCACAAAUGAUUAAAUCAUCUUGCCUCUGAUCCUUAUUGAUGUCGAUCAGGUGAAUGAAUUAGCUGCCAGGCGCAUGGAAGUGGAAGCUCAGUUAAGUGAGAUACAGGCCAGGGUGGAUAAGGCCAAUGACGAUGUACAGGAACAGAUGGCGCAGAGACUCCUCGCAGAGGAGGCAGCAACCCAAGUAAAGGAUCUUGUGAGGGCGGAGGUUAUGCAGAAAAAUAGGCUGCUGGCAAAGGCAUCCAAGGACGCUGAUAGGAAGGCGAGGCUGGAGAAGCUCCUUGUGCUUCAAGGCGACUCGUACUCGACGUUCACUUGGGAAGAGAUUGAUAACGCUACAGCAUCAUUCUCAGAGUCACUCAAGAUCGGAACUGGGUCUAAUGGGACUGUAUACAAGGGCCAUCUCAACCACUUGGAUGUAGCGAUAAAGGUCCUUCAUUCUAAUGACACCUCCAGUACCAAGCAUUUCAAUCAAGAGGUACGUAUUGGCUGAAUUCAUUCUGUGCUUCUUCUUCUUCUUCUUCUUCUUCUUCUGGUGAGAUGUUUGUUUAUUAGGCAGCACUGUGUGUGUUUUUAAUGGCAUUUUCAUCAUGACACAGUGAAGCAGAUAGGGUCCCAUCUUGAGAAUUUUUAUGUCAAGUUAUUAAGUGACAAUGUUCAAAAAAAGUUGAUGCAAGUGCCUGUUUCUGCAGCUUGAGGUUCUGAGCAGGAUACGCCACCCACACUUGCUGGUGCUCCUGGGAGCCUGUCCGGACAAGGGCUGCUUGGUGUACGAGUACAUGGAGAACGGCAGCCUUGCGGAUCGUCUGCAGCGCAGAAAGGGCACACCAGCGAUCCCAUGGGUUGAUCGCUUCCACAUUGUCUGGGAAAUUGCUUCAGCCCUGGUGUUCCUGCACAGCACAAAGCCCAGCCCAAUCAUCCACCGUGACCUGAAGCCUGAAAACGUCCUCCUCGACAGAAACCUAGUGAGCAAGAUUGGUGACGUGGGCCUGUCAACCCUGAUGCCACAGAAGGAGACUCUGUCAAACCGCACGGUGUACAAGAGGACGGGUCUGGCGGGCACACUGUUUUACCUGGACCCGGAGUACCAGAGAAGCGGGCAGGUGUCGGUGAAGUCGGACACGUACGCGCUUGGCAUGGUGAUCCUUGAGCUGCUGACGGCCAAGUCACCGAUCGGACUACCUGAGCUGGUGGAGCGAGCAGUGGAAGACGGCCAGAUUACUGAUGUCUUGGACAAGAGUGCAGGGGACUGGCCCGUGAAAGAAGCGCAUGAACUUGCCCAGCUAGGGCUAAAGUGUUUGGAGAUGCGGAGCAAGGACCGGCCUGACCUCAAGAGCGUGGUGGCGGUGGAUCUGGAACGGCUGAAGCAUGGCACGGCCGUGCCAGGCUUGGCCGGACCGCCCAGCCACUUCAUGUGCCCAAUACUCAAGGUACGUUUUCUAGACUAGAUUUAUGAAUGUGGCAGUUUGUGUGAUACAGUAGAUAGACAGGCUGAUCAUUUUUGGUGCAUGCACGUGUGAUUAAUACAGUACCUGUGUGUGUGUGUGGGGUUGGUGCAGAAGGUGAUGCAGAACCCGUGCCUGGCGGCGGACGGGUACUCGUACGAGCGCGACGCGAUGGAGAUGUGGCUGUGCGACCAGAACACGUCGCCGGUGACCAAGGCGCGGCUGCGUGACAAGAAGCUGGUGCCUAACCUGUCUCUUAUGAGCGCCAUCGCGAGCUGGAUGGCCCAGGGGGGGAGGCCCCUGAUGGAGUGAGGCUCAUGGUAAAUACGUACUAUGCUAGUCUAACAGAGUGCUGCACAUAUCAUCGGGGCUUGGUUGGGUUUGGGUUGGGAGACAAGGUUUAUGCCAGGUAUAGAAGAGAGCAGAGAGUGGGCUUUUGUGUGUCCGUUCUUUGGUACCAACUGCUUCUGCGUAACGUCAAGGAGCGAUUUUGCUGCAACCAUACUUGUGUUGGUUAUCAUACCACUACUACUAGGUAAGUACUAUAGAACACUAGUAGAGAUGUCCAGGACCAGGAGAGGAGAGGAGAGGAAACCCUGAGUUGAGUUGGUCUAAAUAGAAUACGGAAAAUUUUGGUUGGAUCGGAUCGGAUUGGAUUGGAUGGAUGCCGAGGUUAUGCUGUGCUAAUGUCUCUGGCAUUGAUUGAAACUUGGAGGAUAUAUGGCUUUGUCGUCGUUGUUGGCCUUGUGCUGUGAAGCCCUGCAGAUUGAGAUGACAGGAAUGGAAUGUGGAUAUCGUCUUGGGUGCAGUUUUUUUUUUUGGAGCAUAAUCAGACUUUAUUUCUCAAAUAACUGUCAUAUCAUUUACAAGAUGGUGAGAAAUAAAGCCAGGGAUGAUAGCAUCCCAAGAACUACAGAAUUCGAUCUAAAAGACUGUUUUGCUAACUCAUUAGCCACUUGGUUUGCUUCUCUGAAACAAUGCUUGAACGUGAUUUUUGCAAAGUCGAUGGAGAGUUGCUUACAUUCAAUAAUAACCGUCUUGCAUUAAACAAGAUCAAGAUAUAAUGCUCAUGCUCAACGCUGGCACCAAAUAACAAUUAUUCAGGUCUAUAACUAAUCCUAGAGAUAGAUGUAGAGGUAGCGUGCCGAUGACGAUCACAGCGACCUUGGAACUCCUGACGCGCAUCAUCACCUCGUCCUUAGUUAAUCUUCGUUUAAUCCGUAGCCCCUAUUUCGAGUUGCAAAUAUGAGCAACAGAACAGUAUCAAAUACCCAAGCGCUACUAUGAGCAUUAGUAAGGUACACACCAGUAACAUGUAUAUCAAAUAUACCUUUGUUCACUUUACCAUCCUUCUUAUCCGCCAAAUACUUGGGGCAGUUCCGCUUCAAGUGACCAGUCCCUUUGCAGUAGAAGCACUCAGUUUCAGGCUUGGGUCCAGACUCGGGCUUCUUCCCAGAAGUUACAACUUGCUUGCCAUUCUUCUUGAAGUUCCCUUCUUUCCCUUGCCCUUUUUUUUGAAACUAGUGGUCUUGUUAACCAUCAACACUUGAUGCUCUUUCUUGAUUUCUACUUCCGCAGCUUUGAGCAUAGCUGUAGCGACCCGACCUCAAACGUCAAGUCUCUGUGCUUCAGUGUCAUCCCUGGAUCGGUAAUGCUGACACACACAAUACUCGAAGGAUUUAUAAUAGAGUGGCAAUCACACACUUAUUACAUCGAAUGUCUCAAGAGAGAAUUUAUUACAAUAAAUAUGGCUUAUGGCCAUCUAAUACGAAAACAACGGAAGACUCGAAAGAUAAAGUGAGUCCAUCAACUCCAACGACAUAGCUGAGUGCAUGACAACGACCUAUCGCACCUUUACUCGUCGUCUGAAAAUCUGCAACAUAAUACGUUGCAGCCCGAAAACGGGUCAGCACAUGGGAUAUGCUGGCAAUGUAACACAGUAGAGCAAUGAAUAGAUAAAUGCUAUCACUACAUGCAUAUAUGGCUGGUGGAGGCUCUAUGGUUACAAGGUUUUUGCGAAAAGCCAAUUUUUUCCUACAACAAAGGAAUAUAUUUUAUUUAACUAUCAAAGUUGGUUGAAACAUUGAGAGUGGUACCCUCUUCUCAAUCCCAAUUAAAAGUAAUUAUCAUCCCAGCAAAUUAAAUUAGAGUGAUGAGAUACAGUAGGAUAAUCCAAAUACUAGAUAUAUACUCAAGAUGUCCAUAACCGGGGACACGGCUAACCAUGAUUAGUUUAUACACUCUGCAGAGGUUUGCGCACUUUUCCCCACAAGACUCGAUCUCCUCCGUUGUAUUUCUCACACUGCAGGGUGUUUGAGAAAUGGAUGACCGAGACACAGUCUUCAGAAGCAUUAACUCUUUACUUCGGGUGGACAGUUACACCUACUUUCCCUCUACAUCUGCUAGCCCACCACUGAAAGAUGCCACACAACAUACUCAACUAUGCUAGAGCCCAUAAUGGCUUGUGGCUGCACACAGAAGUUUCUAGCAUGAAUAAUCUUAUGAUCCCUUUGAGCCUGGGUGGCGGACCGUAGGAGGAUCACACGGUAUAACCCCGGGAUCUCCUAGGACAACACUGGUAUAUCCCCAGGUACCCAAAACAAGCAAUCCACCCAGAUGUGUAUUAAAGUUGCCACCUUAAGUUGAACCAUUAAUUAACAAUCUCACAUCUGUCAUGGAUACACUCAAACCCAAUCCACGUCUACGAGCAUAACAUAGCAAUAUCAGCAUAACGUAGAAGUAACUCUCAGAGGUUUGAUAAUAAAACAUGUAAUAGGUUCUACCUCAUCAUCUACUUCCCAAACCCACAUGUUAAGAGAUCCUACUCAUGCAAUGUGUGAGGGGUUGAAACUAAUGCAUAAAAUUGGGUGAUAAAGGGGUAUGAUCAAAGUGUUACUUGACUUGCUAAUGAUCCACAAAACCUAGAGACUCGUAGUAGCACGCUUCGCACUCCGGGUGUUCUGUCACAAACAAACAAUAGCAUAUAUAAGCAACCAAGCAAAGAUGCACGGGUAAAACUCAAAUAAGAAUAUCUAAUCAGAAAGUUCAACUUAAGAAAUCCGGUUUGCAAAAAGAAUCAAAUCAAACGGAGCAAUGAAACUCAAACGACGAAAGAAACAAGAUCCGGUUACUACUCUGGACUAAAGUCAAAUUUUACAGUACCAAAAUCUUGUUUAAGUUGGUUAAACGGAAAGAGGGUUUCGAGACAAAGAUCCAGGUGCUUGAAUCGCCUGAUUCCGAUAAACGAGCGAAAAGAUAAACUAAAACGAAAAUGGGAUCAGAGAUCACGAUCAAGAAUAAUCGCAAAAAACCCUGGAAAAAGAAAAACGGACAAACAGGCUAACGAACGAACGUUCGCUCUCUGUGACUAACGGGUGAACGGCAUUCGUUAAAACGAACGAAUGGACGAACGUCCGCAAAAUAAGUAAACUGAUCUAAUAAAAUAAAUCACGAAAAUAAAAAAACGGAUCCAGAUGUAUGGUUUACCGAAAAAAACGGCGGCGGCUAACUCCGGCGAAGUCGGCGGCGGUGGCUUGCGCGGCGGCGGCUAGCGGCGGCGCGGCUAGGGUUGCGGGGUGGGGCGGCGGGGUGNNNNNNNNNNNNNNNNNNNNNNNNNNNNNNNNNNNNNNNNNNNNNNNNNNNNNNNNNNNNNNNNNNNNNNNNNNNNNNNNNNNNNNNNNNNNNNNNNNNNNNNNNNNNNNNNNNNNNNNNNNNNNNNNNNNNNNNNNNNNNNNNNNNNNNNNNNNNNNNNNNNNNNNNNNNNNNNNNNNNNNNNNNNNNNNNNNNNNNNNNNNNNNNNNNNNNNNNNNNNNNNNNNNNNNNNNNNNNNNNNNNNNNNAAAUAAAUAAAAAAAUAAAUUCUAACGCACGGAAAAAAAAGAAAAAGAAUACUAAACGGACUCCAAAAAUGCCGAAAUAAUGUUUCCCCAUCCUCUAAAAAUAUGCCGGACAAGGUGAACAUUUAUUUGGGCCUAAAUGCAAUUUUGAAAAACACGUAUUUUUCCUAAUUCAAAUAAAAUUGCAAUAAAAACCAAAUAAAAAAUCUUUUAUUUGAUUUUAAUAUUUUUUCUCCAAUAUUUCAUUUAUUUUGGAGAAGUCAUAUAUCUCCUCUCAUAUAUUUUGGUAUGAAAUAUUUUCGGAGAGAAAAUUUAUUAAAGCCAAAAUGAUCCUUGUUUCAAUAUUUGAUAGAAUUCAAAUAUGAAAAUCGUGAAAUCCCCAACUCUUUCAGAGGGUCCUUGAGUUGCUUAGAAUUUCGAGGAUCGCGAAACGGAAUACAAUAAAAAAAUAUAUGAUAUGCAUGAAUGACCUAUGUAUAACAUUCCAAAUUGAAAUUUGGGAUGUUACAAACCUACGCUCUUAAGAUGAAUCUCGCCCUAGAGAUUCGGGUUGGCUAGAAAAUAGGUGUGGAUGGUCUUUGCGUAGAUCAUCCUCUUAUUCCCAGGUGGCUUCAUCCUCCGUAUGGUGGCUCCACUGAACUUUGCAAAACUUGAUAACCUUGCUGCGAGUAACCCGGCUAGCAAACUCGAGAAUCUUGACACGUUUCUCCUCAUAUGUCAAGUCACUAUCCAACUGAAUUGCUUCUAGGAGCACUGUAUCUCUUAAAGGAAUAUCGGCCAUCUCUGCAUGACACUUCUUCAACUGAGAUACAUGAAACACAUCAUGAACUCCAGACAGUCCUUUGGGUAAUUCCAACUUGUAGGCAACCUCUCCCAUACGUUCCAACACACGAUACGGUCCCACAAAUCUCGGGGCUAACUUUCCCUUAACUCCAAAAUGCUUAACUUCUCGAAGUGGUGACACUCUCAGAUACGCCCUGUCUCCGAUUUCAUAGACUACCUCCUUGCGUUUUGAGUCUGCAUAACUCUUCUGUUUGGACUGAGCUACCUUCAGUCUAUCUCGAAUCAGUUUAACUUUCUCUUCGGACUCCUUAAUCAAAUCCGGCCCAACAACUGGCGAUCUCCAACUUCAUCCCACAUCAACGGUGUUCUGCACCUUCUUCCAUACAGGGCCUCGAACGGUGCCAUCUUUAAACUGGUCUGGUAGCUAUUGUUGUACGAGAAUUCUGCGUAAGGCAAAUUAUCAUCCCGACUAGAUCCAUAAUCUAGCGCACAAGCUCUCAACAUGUCCUCCAGAAUCUGAUUGACUCUCUCUGUCUGUCCAUCUGUCUGCGGGUGAAAAGCUGUACUGAACUCCAGCCUGGUUCCCAAGGUCUGGUGCAGCUGGUGCCAAAACUUUGAAGUAAACUGUGUUCCUUUAUCUGAUAUGAUGGUCCUCGGAACUCCGUGCAGACAUACGAUCCUGGUCAUGUAUAUCUUGGCCAACUUUGCACUGGUAUAGGUGGUUUUCACUCAGAUAAAGUGAGCUACUUUGGUCAAGCAAUCCACUACUACCCAUAUAGAAUCAUAUCCCGAUCGGGUCCUGGGCAAUCCGAUGAUAAAAUCCAUGCCAAGCUUAUCCCACUUCCAUUCGGGUAUCGGCAUAGGCUGCAGUAAUCCUGCUGGCUUCUGAUGUUCUGCCUUCACUCUCUGACAUACAUCACAUACGGCUACAUACUCGGCAAUAUCCUUCUUCAUACCCGUCCACCAGAAAUGCUCCUUCAAAUCCAAAUACAUCUUGAUGUUUCCGGGGUGUAUCGAGUAUGGCGAGUCAUGAGCUUCCUGUAGUAUCAACUUCCUGAUCUCUGCAUUAUUGGGCACAUAUACACGACCCUCAAACCAUAAGGUGUCGUGCUCAUCCUCACGAAAACCUUUGGCUUUUCCUUCACUCAUCGUCUCCUUUAUCUCGGCAAUCUCCUUAUCAUCCUUCCGAGCUUCUCAAAUCUUUCCCAACAAUGUAGACCGAACUUCCAUGGUUGUAACAAAACCUUUAGGAACUAUCUCCAAACGAAGUUCCCUGAGAUCCUCUGCUAACUCUUUUGGCAUUCCUCCGCUUACGAGGGUAUUGACAUAACUCUUCCGACUCAAAGCAUCUGCUACGACAUUGGCCUCGCCUGGAUGAUAAUGCAACUUCAUAUCAUAAUCCUUUAUGAGCUCCAACCAUCUCCUCUGCCUAAGGUUCAACUCCUUCUGAGUAAAAAUGUACUUCAAGCUCUUGUGAUCCGUGUACACAUCACAAUGAUUUCCAAUAAGAAAGUGUCUCCAGGUCUUUCUACGGCUGCUAACUCCAAAUCAUGCGUGGCAUAAUUCAACUCGUGCGGUUUAAGUUGUCGUGAGGCAUACAAAACAACUCUUCCGUCUUGCAAAAGUACUCCUCCAAGUCCUAAGCGAGAGGCGUCACAAUACACUUGGAAAUCCUUGCGUAUAUCCGGUAGAAUCAGCACUCGGGAUGUAGUCAAACGUUUCUUCAACUCCUGGAAACUUGCUUCACAUUCUUCAGUCCAAUGGAACUUGGUGUCCUUCUUCAACAAUGCCUUCAUAGGCUUCGAAAUCUUGGAGAAAUUCUCAAUAAAUCUUCGGUAGUAUGCCGCGAGUCCAAGAAAACUGCGGAUCUCUCCAACUGAGGUGGGUGCCAACCACUCAGUGACUGACUGAACCAUGGUGGGAUCCACUACUAUACCUUCUCCUGAUAUAACAUGUCCAAGAAGUCCAACUUCCUUCAACCAAAACUCGCACUUGCUGAACUUGGCAUAUAAUUGAUGUCCCCUGAGCUUCUCGAGAAGUAAACGCAAAUGCUCCUUGUGUUCCUCUUCAUUCUUCGAGUAUACCAAGAUAUCAUCAAUGAAAACCACAACAAACUUAUCCAAAAACUCCAUGAACACCUUAUUCAUCAUACUCAUGAAAUAGGCGGGGCGUUAGUGAUACGUCUCCGUAUUAUCUAUAAUUUUUGAUUGUUCCAUGCCAAUAUUCUACAACUUUCAUAUUCUUUUGGCAACUUUUUAUACUAUUUCUGGGACUAACAUAUUGAUCGAGUGCCCAGUGCCAGUUCUUGUUUGUUGCAUGUUUUUUGUUCCGCAGAAUAUCCAUAUCAAACGGAGUCCAAAUGGGAUAAAACGGACGGAGAUUAUUUUUGGAAUAUAUAUGAUUUUUGGGAAGAAAAAUCCACGCGAGACGGUGCCCGAGGGAAGCAUGAGGCAGGGGGGCGCGCCCCACCCCCCUAGGUGCGCCCCUGACCCUCGUGGCCACCCCGUAAGGCGGUUGAUGCCCUUCUUCCGCUGCAAUAAAUCUAAUAUCCAGAUAGAGAUCGUGUUAAAAUUUCAGCCCAAUCGGAGUUACGGAUCUUCGGGAAUAUAAGAAACGAUGAAAGGGUAGAAUCUGAUAACGCAGAAACAGAGAGACAGAUCCAAUCUCGGAGGGGCUCUCGCCCGUCCCACGCCAUGGAGACCAAGGACCAGAGGGGAAACCCUUCUCCCAUCUAGGGAGGAGGUCAAGGAAGAAGAAGAAGGAGGGGGGCUCUCUCCCCCUCGCUUCUGGUGGCGCCGGAGCGCCACCGGGGGCCAUCAUCAUCACCGCAAUCUUCACCAACAACUUCACCUCCAUCAUCACCAACUCUUCCCUCCUCUAUGCAGCGGUGUAACCUCUUUCUUACCCACUGUAAUCUCUACUUAAACAUGGUGCUCAACGCUAUAUAUUAUUUCCCAAUGAUGUAUGGCUAUCCUAUGAUGUUUGAGUAGAUCCGUUUUGUCCUAUGGGUUAUUUGAUGAUCGUGAUUGGUUUGAGUUGCAGGUUUUAUUAUUGGUGCUGUCCUAUGGUGCUCUCUAUGUCGCGCAAGCGUGAGGGAUUCCCGCUGUAGGGUUUGCAAUAUGUUCAUGAUUUGCUUAUGGUGGGUGGCGUGAGUGACAGAAGCACAGACCCGAGUAAGUAGGUUGUUUGCGUAUGGGAUAAUGAGGACUUGAUACUUUAAUGCUAUGGUUGAGUUUUACCUUAAUGAUUUUUAGUAGUUGCGGAUGCUUUCUAGAGUUUCAAUCAUAAGUGCAUAUGAUCCAAGUAGAGAAAGUAUGUUAACUUAUGCCUCUCCCUCAAAUAAAAUUGCAAUAAUGAUUACUGGUCUAGUUAUCGAUUGCCUAGGGACAAAUAACUUUCUCGUAACAAAAAACUCUUUACUAAAACUAACUUAGUUGUGUCUUUAUCUAAACAACCCCUACUUUUUAUUUACAUGCUCUUUAUUAUCUUGCAAACAUAUCCAAAAACACCUACAAAGUACUUCUAGUUUCAUACUUGUUCUAGGUAAAGCGAACGUUAAGCGUGCGUAGAGUUGUAUCGGUGGUCGAUAGAACUUGAGGGAAUAUUUGUUCUACCUUUAGCUCCUCGUUGGGUUCGACACUCUUACUUAUCGAAAGAGGCUACAAUUGAUCCCCUAUACUUGUGGGUUAACAAAUGCGAUCAAAAUCGCAACUAAGAUAAUAAUUGAUUAAACAACAUAGUGAUACUAAGCCUCUUUAUUAAUGGCAUAUUUUCUAAUCUUUCUAAUCUUCAAGCGCAUUGUAUCCAUCUUGAUCUUGUGAUCAUCGACGACAUCGGCAACAUACAACUCCAAUUUCAACUUCUCUUCUUCAAUUCUUUUCAACUUUUCUUUCAAAUAACCAUUUUUCUUUUCAACUCAAUUUAACUUCUCGACAAGAGAGUCGGUUGCAAUUUCCGGUUCACAUACCUCUUAGAUAAAAUUAUCUUUGUCAACUUGAUGGGCAUGAUUGUCAUGAACACGAAAUGAAACAAAUAGUUAUAAAAGAUGAUAUACCACAUUUGGAUCAUAAACUGGACGAGGGCCGACGGGGACUGAUAACCCACAAGUAUAGGGGAUCGCAACAGUUUUUGAGGGUAGAGUAUCCAACCCAAAUUUAUUGAUUCGACACAAGGGGAGUCAAAGAAUAUUCUCAAGUAUUAGCAGUUGAGUUGUCAAUUCAACCACACCUAAAAGACUUAAUAUCUGCAGCAAAGUAUUUAGUAGCAAAAUAGUAUGGAAGUAACAGUAACGGUGACAAAAGUAAAACAGUAGCAGUUUUUGUAGCAAUCGUAACAGUGGCAAUGGAAAAGUAAAUAAGUAAAGAUAAAUAUGUGAAAAGUUCGUAGGCAAUGGAUCAAUGAUGGAUAAUUAUGUCGGAUGCGAUUCCUCAUGCAACAGUUAUAACAUAGGGUCACAUAGAACUAGCUCCAGUUCAUCAAUGUAAUAUAGGCAUGUAUUCCAAAUAUAGUCAUACGUGCUUAUGGAAAAGAAUUUGCAUGACAUCUUUUGUCCUACCCUCCUGUGGCAGUGGGGUCCUAUUGGAAACUAAGGGAUAUCAAUGCCUCCUUUUAAUAGAGUACCGGACCAAAGCAUUAACACUUAGUGAAUACAUGAACUCCUCAAACUACGGUCAUCACCGGGAGUGGUCCCGAUUAUUGUCACUUCGGGGUUGUCGGAUCAUAACACAUAGUAGGUGACUAUUGACUUGCAAGAUAAGAUCAAGAACUCACAUAUAUUCAUGAACAUAAUAGGUUCAGAUCUGAAAUCAUGGCACUCGGGCCCUAGUGACAAGCAUUAAGCAUAGCAAAGUCAUAGCAACAUCAUCUUAGAACAUGAUGGAUACUAGGGAUCAAACCCUAACAAAACUAACUCGAUUACAUGGUAAAUCUCAUCCAACCCAUCACCGUCCAGCAAGCCUACGAUAGGAUUACUCACGCACGGCGACGAUGACGACGGAUUCCCCUCUUCGGGGCCCCGAACGGACUCCAGAUCAGCCCUCCCGAGAAAGAUUAGGGCUUGGCGGCGGCUCCGUAUCGUAAAAUGCGAUGAAUCCUUCUCUCUGAUUUUUUUCUCCCCGAAAGUGAAUAUAUGGAGUUGGGGUUGAGGUCGGUGGAGUCCCAGGGGGCCCACGAGGCAGGGAGCGCGCCCCCCCCCCCGGGGGGGGGGGGGCGUGCCCUGCACCCUCAUGGGCAGGGUGUGAGCCCCCUGAUGCUGAUUCUUUCGCCAAUAUUUUUCAUUAAUUCCAAAACGUGUCUCCGUGGAUUUUCAGGUCAUUUCGAGAACUUUUAUUUCUACACAAAAAUAACACCAUGGCAAUUCUGCUGAAAACAGCGUCAGUCCGGGUUAGUUCCAUUCAAAUCAUGCAAGUUAGAGUCCAAAACAAGGGCAAAAGUGUUUAAAAAAGUAGAUACAUUGGAGACCUAUGAGGGACAGAUAUCACAACCAUGGCACUAAAUAACAAACAAUCAUACAAGCAAGAAAAGUACAAGUAACUAUCUAAAUCAUACAAAUAAAAUUUUUCUUUUACAAAAAGGAUAAGAACAAGAGGCUCACCAAGGUGGUGCCGGUGACGGGACAGCGCGGGCGAUCGACGGCGGUGAGGACGGAGACGGGAAGGCACUUAAACCAGACCUACACAUAUGCAAACUAAGAAGUUAAUUUGAGCUCAAAUUGCAUAUAAAUCAAAUAAACUCCCACAUAAUUACUCCCAAACUAAAACCCACAAAUCACUAUACUUAUAAAGCAUGAAACGAGCUAAACUAGUAAUGAGAGAUGAAAGGAUGAAGUUGCUAACAUUUUAGAACCUUGGAUAGAUGGGGUGCCUCUAAUCUUGACAAAUCUUGGCGAAAAUGGAGGAUGAACUUGAGCUAGGGGAAGGAAACAAAGAUGAGAGAAAUGAGAGAGCUUGGACUCGGGCUGGACGAAGCAUCUUUAUAUAGGGAUAUCUUUAGUCCCGGUUGGUCAUAUCAACCAUGACAAAAGGUGCUCGCAGGGGCCCCAGUCUGCCGCAACCCCUUUAGUCCCAGUUGGUAUCUCCAAUCGGGACUAGAGGUCCCAUUUGAACCGGGACUAAUCUUGUCCGUGCCCCCGUCCGCUCCUAGCCGUUGGAACCGGGACUAAUGCUCACAUUAGUCCCGGGCCCAAACCCGGCCGGGACUAGUGCUCCGGAUGAAAUGUUGGUUUUCUACUAGUGAUACUUCCCUCGUUCUUAAAUAUAAGUCCUUUUAUAUAUUACAAUAUAGAUUACAUACGAAGUAAAAUGAGUGAAUCCACUCUAAAGUAUGUCUAUAUUACAUCCGUAUGUAGUUUGUAUUAAAAUCUUUAAAAGCAUUUAUAUUUAGAAUGGAGGGCGUACAAACUUGUACUAAGGUUAAGACAUUUAUUUUGGGAUGAAGUGAGUAUACGCGAAUAGGCAUGUGCAGCUCAUGACAAAUCUACGUAUAGAUGUGUAGUUAGCUUUUCGGAAUCACGAAAUUCCACGGAAGUAGGCCAGGUACAAAUACACGGAAGUAGGCCAGGUACCCUAUUAAGGUCCAUGAUUCCAAGCCUUUUCGGCCAUGUCUGUGGGCUCUGUUGACAGUAAUAAUGCUGCAGUAGAUGUGUAGGGUGGCCGCUGAUCACGAGAGCAUUGAGCGGCCGCAAGCAUGCAGCGUCGCUUUCGAUUCGUACCCGGCUCUAAAGUAAUCUGAGAUGAAUACUGAAACUUGUCCGUGGGAGUACCGCCGGCCGCGCCAAUAUAUCCGGCUUCCUGCAUGCGUGAUUGACUGCCUUGCCACGCCGCUUACGCCAGGUUCCACUACAGGGUGACUCGAGCAGUGCCCCGGUUGUGUUGUGACAAGGGCUGGGCAUGGAGAUGGAAGAGGGGCUCGAUCUGAGCCUGUCGCUGCGCCAGUACACGCCGCCGUGGUCGCAGCUGGUGUUCGCCUGCUCCUACUGCUCACGCAGCUUCAAGAACUCGCAGGCGCUCGGCGGCCACCAGAACGCUCACAAGCUGGCCAGGCGGGCCACGGCGCUCUCUUCAGCGGCGGCGGGAGAGCUCGCCAUCGAGAACCACCACAGCGCUCCGCCGCGCCCCGGCGCCCGCGCUUGGCGAGCAGGAUAUCGUCAGCAGGCGCGGCGCACGGGUACUGGUUCGGGGGCAACCUCGUCCGGGGCAAGAAGAGGCGACCAAGAGCUUGCGGAGGAGGCGAUUGACCUGUCCCUCAAGCUAUGAUCGUUCCAACCCGUCGAUGCAGGUGCAGGCACUAAGGACAUGCAGUAGUACUUCGUUCCUCUCGUCCAAUAGUUUCAUUUGUUGUGCUGUUGUGUUUCUGCUAUUGCUUUCCGGCUUAAAUAAUUAUGUUGUGUUUCUGCUAUCUCUUCCAAUAUCAUUGCUCUUCUACUAAUAUCGUGUUCUCAUUAUUGUCGACAUCCUUGUCACAUUGACAUUGCCAAUGAUUAGGAAAACAGGAUCACCGACAGUAUAUGGGCUAGUCCUAUAGGCCUGACUAGGGAUCUGUUCGGUGUUUAUGUUUUCCCACAUGCAACUGAGUUUUCCUCCGAAUUUCAUGUUCAAUAACCAUUGCAAUUAUAGCACCAAGAUAUAAAAUUAAUUAAAAAUGAAAAUAGAAUAAUAAUAACUUUAUUUUUGUCUCUAGGCCAUACUUUCAACAUGAGAAACAUCCAAUUUUAAUACUGCACCUUUGCAUUUUAUGUCAUUAUGUCUCCUAGCCACCUAUGAAGAACAAGAAGGGUGGUUCCAUACAAACUCUUGUGCUUGAUAAAGGUUGUUUGGUCCACGCUAAUUAGCAGGCUGGUCAUAGUGGAGAGUAACUUAGACUAGUAACAUACAUAUGUUACUAGUCUAUGUUACUACCUUCAUAGUGGGUAGUGUCAUAGGUGUGGUAACAUAGUUGCCUUCAUUUAUUACUUUGUAGACUCAUUAUGCAUUGGAAACCGCUAUGUGAUGGUAACAUAUUAUGUUACUCUAUUUGCCUCUCUCCUCAUUAACUACUUGCCACAUCACCAAUUUUGCUUAUGUGGCAUCUAUAUUACUACCUAUGUUACUCCCACUAUGACCAGCCGCAUAGCCGUGUGCGAUCUGGUACAGUUGGAAAGAAACUCGGCAACUAAUUUUGGAAAGUCGUGUACAAGGUUAUGGGUUGGAACUCCAACAAUGGGUGUGUCUAGUUUUUUUCAGAAUGAGCAUGAUCAAGGCCUUGUUAAGAGCAACAAAACCUCUCUCAUCGCCAACACAAAAUUUUAGCAAUGUCAUCAUUAUAUCCCCUUGUGGAAGAAGGCACCCAUAAAUCCAUAGGGGCCAGGGGAACGACUAGGAGAUAUCUCAUUAAUAACUUCCCAAACUUCUUCUUCAAUAAAUAUGGUGUCUAGCUCCGGCAGUUGAGUAGGGAGCAUAACCAGUGCAUCCAAAUCAAAUGUAAGAUCUCUUGCAGUUGCUCUUCCUAGAAGGCCAUCCAGGCAUUGAUAAUUACUCCCUCACUUCUGAUUUAUAGGGCCCAAUUCAAAAAUCUCAACAAACAAGGUAGAUAUUGAGUGGUGGUAUAGUUUUGUAGUUUGCAAAAGUACUGCACUCAAUUUUCUAAACAAAUUGUGGUUACCAACGCAUUAGUUGCAAUGCAUGCAGGCGUGACCAAUAAAUCACCAAAAAAAAUACAUACAUUGGUGAGUUUUCUCAUAAUCCUUGCAUACAACGAUUUAAUGCACAUUAAAAUCUGAAUAUGUGAUGAGGAGCAAUACAUUCUUUAAGAUAAACCUUAUAAACCGGAAGAGAGGGAGUACUUUGGUUAGUUAAGUCCGUAUACCAAUCGAAAGCUUUGUCUAUAAUUUCUUGCAGUAACCUACUUCUGGUCGAUCGCAUGUAAAUAUUCGGUCCUAGCCUAAAAUUUCUUGAAUUUUGGGCCAGCUGACCAUACCUUAAGGUCCAAUUCAAACUUUGAAGACAUAUUUCUUGUUGUCUUGCUGAUGAGCAUAGCGCAUCCACCGGCUGAUACGGCCAAUUCUAGUUCUAGCUGUACAGAUAUAGACGACAUGCAUGCAUUAGCUAUCAUGAAACUAGGGAAUCAAUCAUGGAGUUGACACCAUGGACGAACGUGAGGCAAGCUGAUGCACGCUUUUAUGGAAGAUGGAUCUUAUUUUAUUGCAACAAAUAAAGAUCAGGUGCAGGGGUCACCGCACCUAUGACAGUCAAAACUACUGGCUAGCCGGAGUUGGGUGCCAUGAGAAAGCAGCGUGAUAGAUCAUUUGAUCAAUAGCGUCGAGGAGCGUGUGCUCUGUGCUCAGGUCGAUGGCAUGUGCUGCAUGCCUUGAGCAUGUCCAUAAAAAUAUAUACAACACAUUGUAGUUGUGAACUUGUGAAGGCUGGGGGUGAUAUAACGUGUUUAGGAACCUGGCGAGCAUAUGCUGCCGUGUGCUGUACGAAGCCGGAGGAGUUCGUCCCGAGAUUGGAGAGAGCAUGGAGAGUUCAGAACGAAAGGGAUUAGAGGAGGAUUAAAAUUAAUUAAUUAAUUGUGUGGGCCUACACUCAUACGUGGCACGCACUCAUUGAGCCUGCACCAUAAUAGGUGCAGUGACCCCUGGCUAGCGGCUUCCGGUCCUAGUUCGCGUAGACUGCUUACCCAUUUUUUAUAUCUAAAUAGCUAGCUUCAUUAACAUAUUUUUCUCAAUAUGCAAAUAUGACACUUCAUCAUUCAACAUUCAGGGUUCGGCUCACCUGCGGGGCUCCCAACAGGGAUUAUCGUGCAGGGCCAGUUAGAGAGUGCCACGUUGUGUCCAAGUGGGCCAGCAACUCUAAUUAAGUUAGAUUUAUUUUGUGUUUGUCUGAAAAACUUGCUCCUUGGAUGAUUCGAUCCUUCCUGACCUGGCCUCUGCGCUAAGGAAACACGAGACUGGAUGCUAUCACGAAGCCGCGGACAGGUUCUUGUUCAUCCACCGGCGAUGUUGCUGACUCGUCUACCACCGGUAGAGGAAUACCGUGCGCGGUUGUAUGACACAUGCAGCUCAGCUCCUCGUUGUUUCUUGCUAGAUCAUGCAUAUUAAUUAUAGUUUUAAAUAGCCGGCUAUAGUUCGCUAUAGCCUUUUCAGCAGGGUGCCGCUAAGUGGCUGCCUUUACAAAUAGCCCGCUAUAACUUCGCUAUAGCUGAUUUGAAGACCCGCCGCUAUUUUGCAUAGCCUGUUAUUUAAAAUAUUGAUAUUAACACCUUUUCGCCAAAUUAAUUGAGCCAAAGCACUCCAAAUGACAAGAUCGGAAGCCGUAGUUUCUUGUCCAGUGGGACGCCGCCGUGUUAAUCUCCCGCUGCGGUGAGAUUCAGUCUCCCUCUAUGAUCGAAGUCCUUCUCACAGUCUCAGUAGACUCCUAUAGGAUACUACCUCGAAGCCAACAAUUGCAACGACGUGCUCGUCGACGGCAUCAUGUGCACUCUCCUCGGUUGCCGCGGACAUCCACGCCGUCCUCGACUGGCCGUACACGGGCUAGGCGGCCAGCGGCGUCCCGGCUGAUGAGCAAUAACCGAUCCGCUCUAGCCUUCUCCUCACUGCAUCCCGUCGCACGUCGCCAAUCUGAGGAUUAAUCCGUCUGUGGUGUGUCCAAAUAUCCAAUUAAACGACGAGCAUUGAUCCGGCGAGAAGCACAGCUUCACGCGCAAGAACGAGAACCUGUUGUGGAGGACGUCGGAGAUCCUGAAGUAUUUGUCAAGCUUGAACGCCUCCUUGUCUCAUCGUCUUGCGUUUGGCGGCGACGCAUCCCCAUUCCCCCUUCGUCGUCUCCCCCAUCGUCUACUGAUGAAGGACCGAAGCAGCAGGAACUAGGAAGAAACAAAGUAAUUUAACUUAAUUAGAGCUACGGGCCCACUUAGACACGUGGCACUCCCUUACUGGCCUUGCACGAUAAUCCUUGCUGGGAGCCCCGCAGGUGAGCCGAACCCCAACAUUUAUGGGAAAGGCCCAAACAUGCAAUUAUUCAUAAUAAAAAUCUGCCUCAACAUGCAAACACGCAUGCAUGAAAAAUUCCAUUCUAUUAUGCUAUUAACAUUUAAUUCUUACAUUCGUUCCAAAACUAUCAUUUUAAACAUUCAUGUUUCAUAUAUAAUCAAAACCUCAUUCCCGCACCAACGUGCGGUGCAUCAUCUAGUUUGUAAAACUUCAGCAGCCAGCCGCACCCGCUCCUCGUCGACAGCCGUUCCAGCCCCGGCAACCACCGCCCUUGAUGGCGGCCACUCCGGCCCCGCCGACCACUCUUGCUUGAGCAUGGACUCACCCUCCCCCACUGGCGGCCACGGCCGCGAGCUCCGCUGGAUGGACUCCAGCCCAUCUGUCGCUUGAUUUGCAAGCCCCCGCGUCCCGUUCUACCGAGCCGCGCUAUGUGACGAGCCCCUCGUGUCCUCUGAGGGUGUCUCACCGCCGGCUCCGCGCCCUGGCCCGAGAUCUGAGGUCCACUGCGUCACGCCCGACGUCCCCUUCGCCAACGGGAGGCCAUGGGUGACGGCUNNNNNNNNNNNNNNNNNNNNNNNNNNNNNNNNNNNNNNNNNNNNNNNNNNNNNNNNNNNNNNNNNNNNNNNNNNNNNNNNNNNNNNNNNNNNNNNNNNNNNNNNNNNNNNNNNNNNNNNNNNNNNNNNNNNNNNNNNNNNNNNNNNNNNNNNNNNNNNNNNNNNNNNNNNNNNNNNNNNNNNNNNNNNNNNNNNNNNNNNNNNNNNNNNNNNNNNNNNNNNNNNNNNNNNNNNNNNNNNNNNNNNNNNNNNNNNNNNNNNNNNNNNNNNNNNNNNNNNNNNNNNNNNNNNNNNNNNNNNNNNNNNNNNNNNNNNNNNNNNNNNNNNNNNNNNNNNNNNNNNNNNNNNNNNNNNNNNNNNNNNNNNNCCCCCGACGUCACCGCGUUGCCCCUGCUUCAGGAAGGCAUGCCCACCCCGCGGUUGUGCCCGGCGAAUGCCUGCGGUGCUUCAACACAAGCCAUCCUCGCUCAUAGUGUCGGCGCGCCAUCUGUUGCAGCCGAUGUCGCUCCCCGGCCACGUCGUACGGGACUGCACUGCCUUGUGCUCCCCAGCCUCCUCCACCGAACCACCAUCGAAGCGUUGUCGCGAGCCCUCUCCAUGGCAGGGCGCCCCGUCAUCAAUGGCGACCUCUGCGGACUCGAGCUCGGGCAUUGCCGGCCCAAGCCACCCUGUGUCCUCUGUGUGUGGGGGCGGGUCCUCGUCCGGCUCCGCCUUCGCCUCUCCCCUCCAACCUUCCCCCGAGCUCGCCCCGCACCGACCCCUCCACCACCUCGAGCACGAUACCCGUUGUGCUCUCUAGCCACCUCGAGCGGCCGCGCUUUGGUAUCUACCCCAUACGCCUAGCCUUGUCGCCACCGAAACGGCGCCGCGCGAGCGCGCCCUAUUGGCCAUCAUUGCCGGGACCCGCUCCGGCGUCUCUCGUGACGAGGUGGCGAACCAGCAGUGCGAAAGAUCCGUCCUGACCAGCGACGAGGUCUCCGUCCAUAGUCGUGGCCGCUACGAGUUCCUCCUGACGUUCGCCUCGACAGGUAGUUUGAUAAAUAGAUAAUUUGUAACAAAUAACAAGUAGCAAUAGUAACAAUAGGCGCAUCAAGGUAGCCCAAUCCUUUUUGUAGCACAGGACACGCCAAAAUAAUCUCUUAUAGUAAGCAAAGCAUUCUUGAGGACACACAGGAAUUUCAUCUAGAAGUAGGCCAGGGCCCCCACUACCCACCAGGGCGCGCCUGGAGGGGGUGACGUGCCCUGAUGCCUAGUGGGCACCUGGGUGGUCUCCUCCAGUAUCAUUUUUCUCUAAUAUUUUUUAUAUAUUCCAAAAUAAUUCUCCGUAAAAUUUCAGCUCAAAUGGAGAUGUGCAGAAUAUGUAUCUCUGACAUAGAUUUUCCAGAUCCAGAAUUUCAGCUGCCGGUAUUCUCCCGCUUUGUGUAAACCUUGCAUAUUAUGAGAGAAAAGGCAUUAGAAUUACUCCACAAAGUGUUAUAUUGCAUAAAAACACUAUAGAUAAUAGUAGGAAAACAAGAUGCAAAAUGGACGUAUCAACUCCCCCAAGCUUAGACCUCGCUUGUCCUCAAGCGAAAGCCGAUAUCGAAAAUCAUGUCCACAUGUUUAGAGAGAGUGGUGUUGAUAAAAACAAAAUAUGUACAUAGUAGCAUCAUGCCCAUUAUUGUAACAACAAUAAACUUUAUCAUAAAACUUCUCCCGAGCAAGUAACAAUUCAUCACAACAUCGAAGUAUAAAGCAUAAACUUUCUUGAAAACUAACAAAUUAUGUUCUCAGUCAACUUUGCAAUUACAAUUCAUCAUAUCUUUAGGAAGGGUCUUGUAUCGGAGCCUUUUGGCAAGUUCACAUACUCAACCACCAUUUAGUCUUCUAUGAUUGCUAACAGUCACAACAUAUAUAUGGAGCAAAAAGUUUCAGCCGGACACAUAGAAAGAUAGGGGCUUAUAGUUUUGCCUACCAACUUAUUCACAUCAAGGGUGAUGUCAACAAUAAUAACUCAUGAUCACUCAUAUCCAACUGGAUAUAUGUGCCUAGAUAUUUCCCCACCACAUGAUGCUUGCGAAAUAGAAAAAAGGGAUAAAGGAGAACACUUUGACUCUUGCAUAAAAAGUAAAUACAUAAAAGUAAAAGAUAGGCCCUUCGCAGAGGGAAGCAGAGGUUGUCAUGCACUUUUUUGGUUUUUGUAUCCACAGUCUCUUAAUGCAAAAGAACGCCACGUUAUAUUGCCCCUUAUGAUAGCAACCUUUAUUAUGCAAAUCCGUCGCUUUUAUUUCUUUGCCAUCACAAGUUGGUACAACGCUUAUUUCCCCUUACACUAAAAGAUCAAACAUAUUUAGAAGCAUUUUUAUUGCCUUAUGCACCGAUAACAACUUACUUGAAGGAUCUUACUCAAUCCAUAGGUAGGUAUGAUGGACUUUCAAAACAUGACUUUGGGUUAAAGGGUUUUGGAUGCACAAGUAGUAUCUCUACUUAGUGCGGAUUUUUGGCUAGCAAAGCUAUUGAGCAAGCACCACAUGUUGGAGGAUCUAUGACAAUAUAACUUCUAUGUGAAUAUGAACUAACAUAAAUCAUUACAUUGUCUUCCUUGUCCAACGUCAACAAUUUGGCAUAAAAUAUUUAAUGGGGGCUCACAAUCAUAAAAGAUGUCCAAGAUAGUAUAUUUGCAUGUGAAUCUUCUCUUCCUUAUUAAUUCUUUCAUGAAUUGCAUCAUCGACCAAUGCUAUGUUUAUCAACUUUUAAUAAAUUUUACCACUUAUAAUUUUCCUUAUGUGAUGUCAUUACUUUCCAUACGAUUAGCACAUGAUCUUUUUCAUUUUUUUCUUUAUUUUGAUUGAAACAAGAAAGGAAAGAAGCAAAAAAAUCAAACUAAACUUUAUUAUAUAACUCUCAACUCGAUUACAUAGGGGGAUAGAUCAUGAAACUAUCACUCGAAAAUAGAUCAUACUAAACUUUUAUUCAACCAAAUCACGAAAUAACUAAGAAUCGAACUAAAAACCGGUGAAGGUAACAAAAGUGAUGGUGAUACGAUAUCGGGGCAUCUCCCCAAGCUUGGAAAAAGCCAAGGGGAGUGCCCAUACCCAUGUAUUCAAGUAUCCUUCUUUGGUGAUGAUGAUGAUGAUGAUGAAGUAGGGGCUUCGCACUUCAGCCUCAAUAGCUGCUCCAAUAUAUGAUUGAUGCUCCGGAAGGCAAUGUACUCUUCCAACAAAAUAAUUUCACGAGUGAGAUAUGUAUUCUGAACACUAACCGUUUCAAAGGUCCUCAAGGCUUCAAUUUCAGUGGGGGUAAGGUGGUUAUAGUAUGGUUGAAGGAUAUGUUCUUCUUUCUCAACUUCCCCCGUGAGCAUGGCUUGCUCUUGAGCUUAAUCUCCUGCAACUUCGUUGUCCUUGUCCUCCUUGGUGGCUUCUUUUUGUUCCUCUUUCCUCAGCUCCAUCUUCAGCAGUAAAGAAUCUUCUUCUACGUUGUUGGAGGAGGGAGAAGACAUGAUGCCCGGCUUGAUAGAUCUGACAGAAAAUAGCAUGAAACAAGAACAGAUGAUAUUUCCGCGAUGUAGUGGUCAAAUUAUCCGGGGAUAUAUUGCUACCUCUUGAGCACUGUGUUGGUUUUCCCUUGAAGAGGAAAGGGUGAUGUAGUGAAGUAGCGUAAGUAUUUCCCUCAGUUUUUGAGAACCAAGGUAGCAAUCCAGUAGGAGGCUACGCGCGAGUCCCUCGCACAUGCACAAAAUAAAUAAAUCCUCGCAACCAAUGCGAUAAGGGGUUGUCAAUCCCUACACGGUCACUUACGAGAGUGAGAUCUGAUAGAUAUGAUAAGAUAAUAUUUUUGGUAUUUUUGAGAUAAAGAUGCAAAGUAAAAUAAAAGGCAAUGAAAAUAACUAAGUGUUGGAAGAUUAAUAUGAUGAAGAUAGACCCGGGGGCCAUAGGUUUCACUAGUGGCUUCUCUCAAGAGCAUAAGUAUUUUACGGUGGGUGAACAAAUUACUGUUGAGCAAUUGACAGAAUUGAGCAUAGUUAUGAGAAUAUCUAGGUAUGAUCAUGUAUAUAGGCAUCACGUACAAGACAAGUAGACCGACUCUUGCCUGCAUCUACUACUAUUACUUCACACAUCGACCGCUAUCCAGCAUGCAUCUAGAGUAUUAAGUUCAUAAGAACAGAGUAACGCCUUGAGCAAGAUGACAUGAUGUAGAGGGAUAAAUUCAUGCACUAUGAUAAAAAAAACCAUCUUGUUAUCUUCGAUGGCAACAAUACAAUAUGUGCCUUGCUGCCCCUACUAUCACUGGGAAAGGACACCACAAGAUUUCCCAAAGCUAAGCACUUUUCGCAUUGCAAGAAAGAUCAAUCUAGUAGGCCAAACCAAACUAAUAAUUCGAAGAGACUUGCAAAGAUAACCAAUCAUACAUAAAAGAAUUCAGAGAAGCUUCAAAUAUCGUUCAUAGAUAAACUUGAUCAUAAACCCACAAUUCAUCGGUCUCAACAAACACACAACAAAAGAAGAUUACAUCGAAUAGAUCUCCACAAGAGAGGGGGAGAACUUUGUAUUGAGAUCCAAAAAGAGAGAAGAAGCCAUCUAGCUAAUAACUAUGGACCCGAAGGUCUGAGGUAAACUACUCACACUUCAUCGGAGAGGCUAUGGUGUUGAUGUAGAAGCCCUCCGUGAUCGAUGCCCCCUCCGACAAAGCUCUAGAACAGGCCCCAAGAUGGGAUCUCGUGGAUACAGAAAGUUACGGUGGUGGAAUUAGGGUUUUGGCUUCGUAUCUGAUCGUUUGGGGUACGUAGGUAUAUAUAGGAGGAAGAAGUACGUCGGUGGAGCAAUAGGGGGCCCACGAGGGUGGAGGGCGCGCCUGGGGGGGGUAGGCGCGCCCCCUACCUCGUGGCCUCCCUGUUGGUUGCUUGACAUAGGGUCCAAGUCUCCUCGAUCUUGUUCGUUCCAAAAAUCACGUUCCCAAAGGUUUCAUUCCGUUUGGACUCCGUUUGAUAUUCCUUUUCUUCGAAACCCUAAAAUAGGCAAAACAAAACAGCAAUUCUGGGCUGGGCCUCCGGUUAAUAGGUUAGUCCCAAAAAUAAUAUAAAAUUGGAUAAUAAAGCCCAAUAAUGUCCAAAACAGAAGAUAAUAUAGCAUGGAGCAAUCAAAAAUUAUAGAUACGUUGGAGACGUAUCAAGCAUCCCCAAGCUUAAUUCCUGCUCGUCCUCGAGUAGGUAAAUGAUAAAAACAGAAUUUUUGAUGUGGAAUGCUACUUGGCAUAAUUUCAAUGUAAUUCUUCUUAAUUGUGGUAUGAAUAUUCAGAUCCGAAAGAUUCAAGACAAAAGUUCAAUAUUGACAUAAAAAUAAUAAUACUUCAAGCAUACUAACUAAGCAAUUAUGUCUUCUCAAAAUAACAUGGCCAAAGAAAGUUAUCCCUACAAAAUCAUAUAGUCUGGGUAUGCUCUAUCUUCACCACACAAAGUAUUUAAAUCAUGCACAACCCCGAUGACAAGCCAAGCAAUUGUUUCAUACUUUUGGUGUUCUCAAACUUUUUCAAUCUUCAUGCAAUACAUGAGCGUGAGCCAUGGACAUAGCACUUUAGGUGGAAUAGAAUGGUGGUUGUGGAGAAGACAAAAAGGGAGAAGAUAGUCUCACAUCAACUAGGCGUAUCAACGGGCUAUGGAGAUGCCCAUCAAUAGAUAUCAAUGUGAGUGAGUAGGGAUUGCCAUGCAAUGGAUGCACUAGAGCUAUAAGUAUAUGAAAGGUCAAAAAGAAACUAAGUGGGUGUGCAUCCAACUUGCUUGCUCACGAAGACCUAAGGCAUUUUGAAGAAGCCCAUCAUUGGAAUAUACAAGCCAAGUUCUAUAAUGAAAAAUUCCCACUAGUAUAUGAAAGUGAUAACAAAGGAGACUCUCUACUAUGAAGAUCAUGGUGCUACUUUGAAGAACAAGUGUGGUAAAAGGAUAGUAGCAUUGUCCCUUCUCUCUUUUUCUCUCAUAUAUUUAUUUAUUUAUUUAUUUGGGCCUUUUCUCUUUUUUAUGGCCUCUUUUUUUCGUCCGGAGUCUCAUCCCGACUUGUGGGGGAAUCAUAGUCUCCAUCACCCUUUCCUCACUGGGACAAUGCUCUAAUAAUGAUGAUCAUCACACUUUUAUUUUCUUACAACUCAAGAAUUACAACUAGAUACUUAGAACAAAAUAUGACUCUAUAUGAAUGCCUCCGGCGGUGUACCGGGAUAUGCAAUGACUCAUGAGUGACAUGUAUGAAAGAAUUAUGAACGGUGGCUUUGCCACAAAUACAAUGUAAACUACAUGAUCAUGCAAAGGAAUAUGACAAUGAUGGAGCGUGUCAUAGUAAACGAAGCGGAGGAAAGUUGCAUGGCAAUAUAUCUUGGAAUGGCUAUGGAAAUGCCAUGAUAGGUAGGUAUGGUGGCUGUUUUGAGGAAGGUAUAUGGUGGGGGUUGCUACCUCUUGAGCACUGCGUUGGUUUUCCCCGAAGAGGAAGGGAUGAUGCAGCAAAGUAGCAUAAGUAUUUCCCUUAGUUUUUGAGAAACAAGGUAUCAAUCCAGUAGGAGGCUACACGCGAGUCCCUCAUACCUGCACAAAACAAAUAAAUCCUCGCAACCAACCCGAAUAGGGGUUGUGAAUCCCUACAUGGCCACUUACGAGAGUGAGAUCUGAUAGAUAUGAUAAGAUAAUAUUUUUGGUAUUUUUGUGAUAAAGAUGCAAAGUAUAAUAAAGGCAAAGUAAAAAAGCAAAGGAAAUAACUAAGUAGUAGGAGAUUAAUAUGAUAAAGAUAGACCUGGGGGCCAUAGGUUUCACUAGUGGCUUCUCUCGAGAGCAGAAGUAUUCUACGGUGGGUGAACAAAUUACUAUUGAGCAAUUGAUAUAAUUGAGCAUAGUUAUGAGAAUAUCUAGGUAUGAUCAUGUAUAUAGGCAUCACGUCCGAGACAAGUAGACCGACUCCUGCCUGCAUCUACUACUAUUACUCCACUCAUCGACCGCUAUCCAGCAUGCAUCUAGAGUAUUAAGUUAAAAACAGAGUAACGCCUUAAGCAAGAUGACAUGAUGUAGAGGGAUAGACUCAUGCAAUAUGAAGAAAACCCCAUCUUGUUAUCCUCAAUGGCAACAAUACAAUAUGUGCCUUGCUGCCCCUACUAUAGCUGAGAAAGGACACCGCAAGAUUGAACCCAAAGCUAAGCACUUCUCCCAUUGCAAGAAAGAUCAAUCUAGUAGGCCAAACCAAACUGAUAAUUCGAAGAGACUUGCAAAGAUAACCAAUCAUACAUAAAAUAAUUCAGAGGAGAUUCAAAUAUUGUUCAUAGAUAGACUUGAUCAUAAACCCACAAUUCAUCGGUCUCAACAAACACACCGCAAAAAGAAGAUUACAUCGAAUAGUUCUCCACAAUAGAGGGGGAGAACAUUGUAUUGAGAUCCAAAGGGAGAGAAGAAGCCAUCUAGCUAAUAAAUAUGGACCCGUAGUUCUGAGGUAAACUACUCACACUUCAUCGAAGAGGCUAUGGUGUUGAUGUAGAAGCCCUCCGUGAUCGAUGCCCCCUCCGGUGGAGCUCCGGAACAGGCCCCAAGAUGGGAUCUCGUGGAUAUAGAAAGUUGCGGCAGUGGAAUUAGGUUUUUGGCUCCGUAUCUGAUCAUUUGGGGGUACGUAGGUAUAUAUAGGAGGAAGGAGUACGUCGAUCGAGCAACAGGGGGCCCACGAGGGUGGAGGGCGUGCCUGGUGGGGGUGGGCGUGCCCCCCUACCUCGUGGCCUCCUCUUUUGUGUCUUGACAUAGGGUCCAAGUCUCCCAGGUCUUGUUUGUUGAGAAAAUCACGUUCCCGAAGGUUUCAUUCUGUUUGGACUCCGUUUGAUAUUCCUUUUCUUUGAAACACUAGAACAGGCAAAAAACAGCAAUUCUGGGCUGGGCCUCCGGUUAAUAGGUUAGUCCCAAAAAUAAUAUAAAAGUGGAAAAUAAAGCCCAAUAAUGUCCAAAACAGUAGAUAAUAUAGCAUGGAGCAAUCAAAAAUUAUAGAUACGUUGGACACGUAUCAAGCAUCCCCAAGCUUAAUUCAUGCUCGUCCUCGAGUAGGUAAAUGAUAAAAAUAGCAUUUUUUAUGCGGAGUGCUACUUGGCAUAAUUUUAAUGUAAUUCUUCUUAAUUGUGGUAUGAAUAUUCAGAUCCGAAAGAUUCAAGACAAAAGUUCAAUAUUGACAUAAAAAUAAUAAUACUUCAAGCAUACUAACAAAGCAAUUAUGUCUUCUCAAAAUAACAUGGCCAAAGUAAGUUUUGCCUACAAAAUCAUAUAGUCUGGCUAUGCUCCAUCUUCACCACAUAACGGUUCACCAUACGUGCAUGCUACGGGAAUCACAAACUUUAACACAAGUAUUUCUCAAAUUCACAACUACUCAACUAGCACAACUUUAAUAUCACCAUCUUUAUAUCUCAAAACAAUUAUCAAGUAUCAAACUUCUCAUAAUAUUCAACACACUCAUAAGAAAGAUUUAUUAUUAAUCUUGUAUACCAAGCAUAUUAAGACUUUAAGCAAAUUACCAUGUUAUUUAAGACUCUCAAAAUAAUCUAAGUGAAGCAUGAGAGAUCAAUAGUUUCUAUAAAACAAAUCCACCACCGUGCUCUAAAAGAUAUAAGUGAAGUACUAGAGAAAAACUAUAUAACUCAAAAGAUAUAAGCGAAUCACAUAGAGUAUUCUAACAAAUUCCUAAUCAUGUAUAGCUCUCUCAAAAGGUGUGUAUAGAAAGGAUGAUUGUGGUAAAAUAAAAAUUAAAGAAUCAAAUCAUACAAGACACUCCAAGCAAAACACAUAUCAUGUGGUGAAUAAAAAUAUAGCUCCAAGUAAAGUUACCGAUAGAAGUAGACGAAAGAGGGGAUGCCUUCCGGGGCAUCCCCAAGCUUUGGCUUUUAGGUGUCCUUAGAUUAUCUUGGGGGUGCCAUGGGAAUACCCAAGCUUAGGCUCUUGCCACUCCUUGUUCCAUAAUCCAUCAAAUCUUUACCCAAAACUUGAAAACUUCACAACACAAAACUUAAAGUAGAAAAUCUCGUGAGCUCCAUUAGCGAAAGAAAAUAAAAGACCACUUGAAGGUACUGUAACGAACUCAUUCUUUAUUUAUGUUGGUGUUAUACCUACUGUAUUCCAACUUCUCUAUGGUUUAUAAAGUAUUUUACUAGCCAUAGAUUCAUCAAAAUAAGCAAACAACACACGAAAAACAGCAUCUGUCAAAAAGAGAACAGUCUGUAGUAAUCUGUAGCUAGCGCAAGAUCUGGAACCACAAAAAUUAUAAAAUAAAUUUCUGGACGUGAGUAAUUUAUCUAGUAAUCAUCUGCAAAAAUAAUUAACUAAAUAGCACUUUCCAAAUAAAAAUGACAGCAGUUCUCGUGGGCGCUAAUGUUUCUGUUUUUUACAGCAAGUGUCACAAGACUUUCCCCAAGUCUUCCCAACGGUUCUACUUGUCACAAGCACUAAUUAAACACAAAAAAACACAAUCAAAAAAACACAAUCAAAAUCAGAGGGCAUAUUAUUAUAAUUUCCAUAAGAAUUGUUGUAGUAAUUACCAUAAUUAUUAGAGGAAUUACUAGGGUAAGGCCUAGGAUUAAAAUUUCCCCUAUACGCGUUGUUACCAAAAUUGUUCCUACCAACAAAAUUCACAUCCAUAGAUUAAAGUAGACUAAGGAAUAUCAUUAGGAUCAGAAGAAACACUUUUAUUAGCAAAUAAUUUCAUAAGUUCAUCCAUCUUUCCACUCAAAACAUUAAUUUCUUCUAUCGCAUGCACUUUCUUAUUAGUAGAUCUUUCAGUGUGCCAUUGAGAAUAAUUAACCAUAAUAUUAUCUAAGAGUUUAGUAGCUUCUCCUAAAGUGAUUUCCAUAAAAGUGCCUCCCGCGGCCGAAUCUAAAAGAUUUCUAGAAGCAAAAUUCAAUCCGGCAUUAAAAAAUUUGUAUAAUCAUCCACAAAUUUAAACCAUGUGUUGGGCAAUUACAUAUCAUUAAUUUCAUCUUCUCCCAAGCUUGUGCAACAUGUUCAUGAUCAAGUUGCUUAAAAUUCAUAAUAUCAUUUCUAAGAGAGAAGAUCUUAGCAGGAGGAAAAUACUUAGAGAUAAAAGCAUCUUUGCACUUAUUCCAUGAAUCAAUACUAUUUUUAGGCAAAGACGAAAACCAAGCUUUAGCACAAUCUCUAAGCGAAAAAGGAAAUAGCUUCAAUUUAACAAUAUCAUUGUCCACAUCUUUCUUCUUUUGCAUAUCACACAAAUCAACGAAGCUAUUUAAAUGGGUAGCGGCAUCUUCACUAGGAAGGCCGGAAAAUGGAUCUUUCAUGACAAGAUUCAGCAAGGCAGCAUUAAUUUCACAAGAUUCAGCAUCGGUAAGAGGAGCAAUCGGAGUGCUAAUAAAAUCAUUGUUGUUGGUAUUGGUAAAGUCACACAAUUUAGUGUUAUCUUGAGCCAUCGUGACAAGCAAGCAAUCCAACACACAAGCAAACGAGAAACGGGUAAAAAGAGGAAAAUAGAGAAAGAGAGGGAGGAUAGAGAGAGAGGGCAAAUAAAACGGCAAGGGUGAAGUGGGGGAGAGGAAAACUAGAGGCAAAUGGAAAAUAAUGUAAUGUGGGAGAUAAGGGUUUGUGAUGGGUACUUGGUAUGAUGACUUUUGCGUAGACCUCCCCGGCAACGGCGCCAGAAAUCCUUCUUGCUACCUCUUGAGCACUUGCGUUGGUUUUCCCUUGAAGAGGAAAGGGUGGUGCAGCAAAGUAGCGUAAGUAUUUCCCUUAGUUUUUGAGAACUAAGGUAUCAAUCCAGUAGGAGGCUACGUGCGAGUCCCCCGCACAUACACAAAACAAAUAAAUCCUCGCAACCAACGCGAUAAGGGGUUGUCAAUCCCUGCACAGUCACUUACGAGAGUGAGAUCUGAUAGAUAUGAUAAGAUAAUAAUUUUGGUAUUUUUAUGAUAAAGAUGCAAAGUAAAAUAAAAGCAAAAGAAAUAACUAAGUAUUGGAAGAUUAAUAUGAUGGAGAUAGACCCGGGGGCCAUAGGUUUCACUAGUGACUUCUCUCAAGAGCUUAAGUAUUUUACGGUGGGUGAACAAAUUACUAUUAAGCAAUUGACAGAAUUGAGCAUAGUUAUGAGAAUAUCUAGGUAUGAUCAUGUAUAUAGGCAUCACGUCCGAGACAAGUAGACCGACUCCUGCCUGCAUCUACUACUAUUACUCCACACAUCGACCGCUAUCCAGCAUGCAUCUAGAGUAUUAAGUUCAUAAGAAUAGAGUAACGCCUUAAGCAAGAUGACAUGAUGUAGAGGGAUAAACUCAAGCAACAUGAUGAAAGCCCCAUCUUGUUAUCCUCGAUGGCAACAAUACAAUACGUGCCUUGCUGCCCCUACUGUCACCGAGAAAGGACAUCGCAAGAUUGAACCCAAAGCUAAGCACUUCUCCCAUUGCAAGAAAGAUCAAUCUAGUAGGCCAAACCAAACUGAUAAUUCGAAGAGACUUGCAAAGAUAACCAAUCAUACAUAAAAUAUUCAGAGAAGAUUCAAAUAUUGUUCAUAGAUAAACUUGAUCAUAAACCCACAAUUCAUCGUUCUCAACAAACACACAACAAAAGAAGAUUACAUCAAAUAGAUCUCCACAAGAGAGGGGGAGAACUUUGUAUUGAGAUCCAAAAAGAGAGAAGAAGCCAUCUAGCUAAUAACUAUGGACCCAAAGGUCUGAGGUAAACUACUCACACUUCAUCGGAGAGGCUAUGGUGUUGAUGUAGAAGCCCUCCGUGAUCGAUGCCCCCUCCGGCGGAGCUCCGAAACAGGCCCCAAGAUGGGAUCUCGUGGAUACAGAAAGUUAUAGCGGUGGAAUUAGGGUUUUGGCUCAGUAUCUGAUCAUUUGGGGGUAUGUAGGUAUAUAUAGGAGGAAGAAGUACGUCGGUGCAGCAACAGGGGGCCCACGAGGGUGGAGGGCGCGCCUAGGGGGGGUAGGCGCGCCCCCUACCUCGUGGCCUCCCUGUUGGUUGCUUGACGUAAGGUCCAAGUCUCCUGGAUCUUGCUCGUUCCAAAAAUCAUGUUCCCGAAGGUUUCAUUCCGUUUGGACUCCGUUUGAUAUUCCUUUUCUUCGAAACCCUAAAAUAGGCAAAAAAACAGCAAUUCUGGGCUGGGCCUCCGGUUUAUAGGUUAGUCCCAAAAAUAAUAUAAAAAUGGAUAAUAAAACCCAAUAUUGUCCAAAACAGAAGAUAAUAUAGCAUGGAGCAAUAAAAAAUUAUAGAUACGUUGGAGACGUAUCAUAUAUAUAAAGAAUUUUUAUCUUGGAAAACAAGUAUACCAUAGGAAAACGGAGUCGGGAAGGCGCUCGAGGGGCCCACUACCCACCAGGGCGCGCCAGGUGGAGCAGGCGCGCCCUGGUGCCUAGUGGGUACCUGGGUUGCCUUCCCGGUUGCUUCUUAUUUUUUUAUUUUUUUUCUAAUAUUCCAAAACUGAAAGAAAAUAUUUUUGCGGAAUUUUUGGAGUCCGUUUACUUGCCGUAUCACAUACCUCUUCAUUUUUUAGGGUUCUGGAGUGUUCUAGACGGUUUCUUUUAUGUGUUUCUCUGGUGUCAUGGUUUGGAUAAUGUUAGUUUCAACAUUAAUAGGUGUACCUAAAAUAUAGUGGUUAAUUCUUUGUCCAUUGAACACUUUUGGAUUAGUGCAUUCAGCAUUAUUGAUCUUGAUAGCUCCGUUACGGUAAACUUCUUCGAUGAUAUAUGGUCCUUCCCAUGUUUUCCUGCAAAAUAUCUAAAACGAGAAUUGUAUAGUAGAACAUGUUCACCUGCUUUGAAUUCCCGCCUUUGGAUUCUCUUAUCAUGCCAUCUUUUAACCUUUUCCUUAAACAAAUUGGCAUUUUCAUAGGCUUGGGUUCUCCAUUCAUCUACUGAGCUAAUAUCAAAUAACCUCUUUUCACCGGCAAGUUUGAAAUCAUAAUGAGUUCUUUAAUUGCCCAAUAUGCUUUCUGUUCUAACUCAAGAGGCAAAUGAUAAGACUUUCCAUAAACCAUUUUGUAUGGAGACAUACCCAUAGGAUUCUUAUAUGCUGUUCUAUAGGCCCAAAGUAUGUCAUCAAGUUUCCUAGACCAAUUUCGGGACCUAUUGAUAGUUUUUUUAAUAUUAAUUUUAUUUCUCUAUUGCUCAACUCAACUUGACCACUAGAUUGAGGAUGAUAGGGUAAUGCAAUUAUAUGGUUGACAUCAUACUUAGCAAGCAAUUUACAGAAAUCACCAUUGAUUGCUUGUAUCUGUGUUGGUAUUUACCCGAAGAGGAGAGGAUGAUGCAGCACAACAACAAUAAGUAUGUCCCUCAGUUAUGAAACCAAGGUUAAUAAUCCAGUAGGAGAACCAAGCAACACUAUGUAAAUAGCACCUACACACAAAUAACAAAUACUUGCAACCCAACUCGUAAGAGGGUAUGUCAAUCCCUCCUCGGUAUUGAGAUAGAUUAAGUUGUAUAAGAUUGGAUAAAUAGAUCUGACAAAAGCACAAAAUAAAAUAAGUAAAGAAAAAUCGCAGCAAGGUAUUUUUGGUUUUUUGGAAAAAUAGAUCUAAAAAUAAUAUGAUAGGAAAUAGACCCGGGGUCCGUAGAUUUCACUAGUGGAUUCUCUCGAGAAAAUAGCAUACGAUGGAUAAACAAAUUAUUGUUGGGCAACUGAAAGAAGAACAAAUAAUUAUGACUAUAUCCAAGGCAAUGAUCAUGUAUAUAGGCAUCACGUCCAAGAUUAGUAGACCGACUCCUCCAUGCAUCUAUGACUAUUACUCCACACAUCAACUGCUAUCCAGCAUGCAUCUAGUGUAUUAAGUUCAUGGAAAAACGGAGUAAUGCAAUAACAAUGAUGACACGAUGUAGAUAAGAUCUAUUCAUGUAGGAAUAGACCCCAUCUUUUUAUCCUUAAUGGCAAUGAUACAUACAUGUCAUGUAUCCUUCUGUCACUGAGAAUGAGCACCGCAAGAUCGAACCCAUCACAAAGCACCUCUUCCCAUUGCAAGAAAAAUCAAUCUAGUUGGCCAAACCAAACCAAAGUUUCAGAGAAGGAAUACGAGGCUAUAAAGAUCAUGCAUAUAACAGUUCAACAAAGACCCAAACACUAGUAGAAAACGGGCCUUUAGUCCCGGUUCUGGAACCUGGACUAAAGGGUCAGGACUAAAGCCCAAACCCUUUAGUCCCGGUUUGCUUACGAACCGGGACUAAAGGAGCUCCACGUGGUUGGUUUCUGGAGCUUCACCUUUAGUCCCGGUUGGUAACACCAACCCAACUGGGACUAAAGGAAUUUUUUUUAAAAUUUGGUUUUUCUAAAUUAAAAAAAUGAUUUUUUUUUGAAUUUUUUCCUGAUUUUCAAAUUUCUGAAUUAUUUGACAAUUUAAUCUCUAAUCACCUCUCGCCACUACUCAAGUAUGUACCAGUCAUUCCAAAUCGUCUAACUUCCUAGCUGGUCACCCAUCCUCUCACUACCCCAGCCUAAGCACGCUUAACUUCUGAGUUCUAUUCUCCCUAGUUUCCAAGUCUGCACUUGUUGUUUUCCGGACAAUAGUAAGCUGUCAAUCCUAUUAACCCUUAGGAGUUGAACUUGAGCAUGAAGCACCAUUUGAGUUUGAAACUAUUAUUCUAAAAAAAUAAUUAAUUAGUAACACUGAUAUUUCUUGAAUAAGUUGUUUGACCAUAGUUUGACCAAAAAAUUAAAAAAACUUAAAUUUGAGGAUAACUUUUUUCCUUUCAGAAUUUGAGGAUUCUAAAAAUUUCCAAAACGGCCUAUGUCCAUAGAAAUCAGAACGGGAUUUUUGUGCUGAACAUUUUGAUAUUUAUACGGUUUUCGACAUCAUAUGCAAAAGUUAUAGUCGUUUUACUUUUUCAUAACACUGUUUUGCAAAACAUGUCGAAAUUUAUGCUUGUUAAUUUUCCUAACUAGUAGAUGUAGUUACAUUACUACAUCUCGAAGGAUUUUAUUUUUUGAAGUUUUUAUCAUUUUCUUUAGUUUUUUCAAAACUGAAAUGGCGAUAAGUGGGGGGGGGGUUGAUAACCCACAAGUAUAGGGGAUCGCAACAGAUUUCGAGGGUAGAGUAUUCAACCCAAAUUUAUUGAUUCGACACAAGGAGAGCCAAAGAAUAUUCUCAAGUAUUAGAAGCUGAGUUGUCAAUUCAACCACACCUGGAAACUUAAUAUUUGCAUCAAAGUGUUUAGUAGCAAAGUAAUAUGAUAGUAGUGGUAACGGUAGCAAAAGAUAACGGUAGCAAAAGUAAUAUUUUUGGUAUUUUGUAGUGAUGAUAACAAUAGCAACGGAAAAGUAAAUAAGCGAAGAACAAUAUAUGGAAAGCUCGUAGGCAUUGGAUCGAUGAUGGAGAAUUAUGCCGGAUGUGGUUCAUCAUGUAACAGUCAUAACAUAGGGUGACACAGAACUAGCUCCAAAUCAUCAAUGUAAUAUAGUCAUACAUGCUUAUGGAAAAGAACAUGCAUGACAUCUUUUGUCCUACCCUCCCGUGGCAGCGGGGUCCUAAUGGAAACUAAGGGAUAUUAAGGCCUCCUUUUAUUAGAGUACCGGACCAAAGCAUUAACACAUAGUGAAUACAUGAACUCCUCAAACUACGGUCAUCACCAGGAGUGGUCCCAACUAUUGUCACUUCGGGGUUGCCGGAUCAUAACACGUAGUAGGUGACUAUAGACUUGCAAAAUAGGAUCAAGAACUCACAUAUAUUCAUGAAGACAUAAUAGGUUCAGAUCUGAAAUCAUGGCACUCGGGCCCUAGUGACAAGCAUUAAGCAUAGCAAAGUCAUAGCAACAUCAAUCUCAGAACAUAGUGGAUACUAGGGAUCAAACCCUAACAAAACUAACUCGAUUACAUGAUAAAUCUCAUCCAACCCAUCACCGUCCAGCAAGCCUACGAUGGAAUUACUCACGCACGGCGGUGAGCAUCAUGAAAUUGGUGAUGGAGGAUGGUUGAUGAUGACGACGGCGAAGGAUUCCCCUCUCCGGAGCCCCGAACGGACUCCAGAUCAGCCCUCCCGAGAGAGUUUAGGGCUUGGCGGCGGCUCUGUAUCGUAAAACGCAAUGAAUCCUUCUUCUCUAUUUUUUUCUCCCCGAACACGAAUAUAUGGAGUUGGAGUUGAGGUCGGUGGAGCUCCAGGGGGCCCGCGAGGUAGGGGGCGUGCCCCCACCCUCGUGGCUAGGGUGUGGGGCCCCUGGCCUUGAUUCUUUGCCAGUAUUUUUUAUUAUUUCCAAAAAUAAUCUCCGUGGAGUUUUAGGUCAUUCCGAGAACUUUUGUUUCUGCACAUAAAUAACACCAUGGCAAUUCUGCUGAAAACAGCGUCAGUCCGGGUUAACAAGGGCAAAAGUGUUUGGAAAAGCAGAUACGACGGAGACGUAUCAACUCCCCCAAGCUUAAACCUUUGCUUGUCCUCAAGCAAUUCAGUUGACAAACUGAAAGUGAUAAAGAAAAACUUUUACAAACUCUGUUUGCUAGCAUUCAAGUUUUCAGCAAAGAUUAUGAACUAACCAUAUUCACCAUAACUCUUAGGUCUCAUGUUUACUCAUAUCAAUGGCAUAAUCAACUAGCGAGCAAUAAUAAUAAAUCUUGAAUGACAACACUUUAUCAAAAUAAUCAUAAUAUGAUAUAACAAGAUGGUAUCUCGCUAGCCCUUUCUGAGACUGCAAAACAUAAAUGCAGAGCACCUUUAAAGAUCUAGGACUGACUAGACAUUGUAAUUCAUGGUAAAAGAGAUCCAGUCAAGUCAUACUCAAUGUAAACUAACGGUAAUGAAUGCAAAUGACAGUGGUGCUCUCCAAUUGGUGCUUUUUAAUAAGAGGAUGAUGACUCAGCAUAAAAGUAAAUAGAUAGGACCUUCGCAGAGGGAAGCAGGGAUUUGUAGAGGUGCCAGAGCUCGAUUUUGAAAUAGAGGUGAAUAAUAUUUUGAGCGGUAUACUUUCAUUGUCAACAUAACAACCGAGAGAUGGUGAUAUCUUCCAUGCUACACACAUUAUAGGCGGUUCCCAAACAGAAUGGUAAAGUUUAUACUCCCCCUUCCACCAACAAGCAUCAAUCCAUGGCUUGCUCGAAACAACGAGUGCCUCCAACUAACAAGAGUCCCAGGGGGAGUUUUGUUUGCAAUUAUUUUGAUUUAGUUUGCAUAAAGCAUGGGACUGGGCAUCCCGGUGACCAGCCAUUUAUCUCGUGAGUGAGGAGCGGAGUCCACUCCUCUUGAGAAUAACCCGCCUAACAUGGAAGAUACAGACAGCCCUAGUUGAUACAUGAGCUAUUCGAGCAUACAAAACAGGAUAUUUAUUUGAAGGUUUAGAGUUUGGCACAUACAAAUUUACUUGGAACGGCAGGUAGAUGCCGUAUAUAGGUAGGUAUAGUGGACUCAUGUGGAAUAACUUUGGGGUUUAUGGGAUUGGAUGCACAAGCAGUAUUCCCGCUUAGUACAGGUGAAGGCUAGAAAAAGACUAGGAAGCGACCAGCUAGAGAGCGACAACAGUCAUGAACAUGCAUUAAAAUUAAUCAACGCCGAAUGCAAGCAUGAGUAGGAUAUAAUGCACUAUGAACAUAAAUAUCAUAGAGGCUAUGUUGAUUUUGUUUCAACUACAUGCAUGAACAUGUGACAAGUCAAGCCACUCAAAUCGUUCAAAAGAGGAUACCACCCUAUCAUACCACAUCAGAACCAUUUUAAUAGCAUGUUGGCACACAAGGUAAACCAUUAUAAGCUCCUAGCUAAUUAAGCAUGGCAUAAGCAACUAUAAUCUCUAAUUGUCAUUGCAAACAUGUUUAUUCAUAAUAGGCUGAAUCAGGAACGAUGAACUAGUCAUAUUUACAAAAAAAAAA